UUUUUUUUUUUGGUGGAGAACUUGCAGUACUGUACUACUGCUGCUGCUGCUAUAUUCUAACAGGAAGCGCAGUUGGUUCACCAACCUAAAAAGAAAUAAAAACCAUGAACCAGUAUGACCAAAUCACGCAGCGACAGGUGUGUCGCUUCUAGAUUUAUGCUCUGAAGUAGCGCAGUGGAAAGGGGAUUAUCUUAGCAUAUCCCUUCGCUUUUGUUUAAGUGUGUCGCGUAUCUUUGGACAUCUCUCCUUCCUUCUUGAUAGAAUGAUAGGCUCCUGAAUUCUAUUCUCACCUGUCGAUUGCGGUCUAAAACUAAACUAAUGAAAACGCAUCAGGUGCCGGGAUCGAUGCAUGAAUAUUAAUCAAGGGACAUUUUUGUUUUGUAACAUUUGUGUAGUGUGUCCGGUGCUGCUCCACGUGUUUGUAUGCAGAUGUGUACGUGCAAGCUCAGAUCGAUUGAUCGAUCAGUCGUUGUUAAAUUAAUCGUGAUGAUUGAGAGAUGAAGCUGACCAUGUACGUGUGUGGAAUAUCUGGGGAUGAUUCCCUACUAGAAAUUAGAAGAAAUCAAGUCUCCUAGUUAAUUAUCCAAUCCUACAGUUUCACACUCGGGUUCGUCAGUGGGGUUGGUGCAAAGUGCCUAGUUAACCAUUUGACGCAAGGUGUAAAAUACUCCUACAUAGCGAGACCAAAUGCAGUAUUAUAUACUCCCUCCGUUUCAAAAUGUUUGACACCGUUGACUUUUUAGCACAUGUUUAACCGUUCGUCUUAUUUAAAAAAAAUUGUGAAAUAUGUAAAACCAUAUGUGUACACAAAAGUAUAUUUAACAAUGAAUCAAAUAAUAUGAAAAUAAUAAAUAAUUACUUAAAUUUUUUUGAAUAAGACGAAUGGUUAAACACAUACUAAAAAGUCAACGGUGUCAAACAUUUUGAAACGGAGGGAGUAUAUGUCACUACUCCUACUUUUUAGUGGUUAAUGAAACCUAAUAUAAACUCCUUGGACUCUUAAAAGAAUUCAGAAGUUAACCUCAAACCAUAUCCAACUUUAAUUUGGUUUGGGGUAUCAUGUGUACGUAUAUUGUUGGGAUGUCGAGAUCAGCCUCAGGCUCUACAAGACGAACUAAAUUCCUUAAAUAUUCUUUUUCGUACUCUUUGUGGCGAUCGCAAGUGGCUGAAAUUAAAAUUGUGGACAAUCUUUAAUUCGUACUAGCACUGAUUAAUUGCUCUAUCAGUAAUAGAUCUUGACGAUCUUGGCAGACGGUUACAUGGUUAAUAUUGGCAUCUGGUCUAAAUAUAUAUAUAUUGGCAUCUAGCUAUGCAUUGAACAUAGUCGGGAUACGUCACGGAAAAAGUACGUGUAUAUAGCUCUCAGCAUGCAGGCGACGAAUAUAGGCAGAUAUAGAAGAUUGAUGUUGCUUCAGGGUUCAGACAAAACCUGGAGAUACCUGAUCCCAAGAAAAUUAUAGAAAAAGAUUAUACAAUAUCAAAUCUAAAGCCGGAAAAAAGAAAGAGAGAAAACGAAUGGGGUUGAUGAAGUGCUUGUCAUGCAUUUGCCAUUCCUCUACUAGAUGAUUUUGCCAGGAGUAGAAGACAUGUUACACGAAAUUUGAAAAAUGGAAGAAAUUUAAGAUAAAGUAUGAUUCUAAUAUGAUUCGCGUGUAGAUCCAAUUUAGACAUGUCAUAAAGGCUGAUGGAAUUUGUGUUUUAGAAUUUGGGAGAGCGAGAGCCGAACCAAGAGGUGAUCAAAAGAUUUUUUUUAAUUUUUAUAUUUACUUUUUAAAAGAUUUUAAGAAUAAUUUCUCAUUUCAGAAUUUUACAGAAAUAUACUCCUCACGUCCUAUCAUAGGGCGGUGCUUAUAAAUCGCUCUACGGUAUAGCGAUCUAUGGGAUGUGGCACCCCGCGCUUGGGGCGUGCUGUGGCAAUUUUGCAGGGCGUGCCACAUCAUAUAGAUCGCUAUCAAAGGGUGGGAGGAGUAUAUUUUUGUAAAAAUUUGAAACUGCAAUUUAUUUUUGUAAAUCUUUUUAAAAAUAAAAUAAAUUCUCUUAAAUAAAGGGUCAAGGAUUUGAGGCGAAGCGCACAAAAAUGCAUAUUGCAGGAUGGACCAUAGACUAUACGGCCCAUUGGGACGUCAAAUUGAUUAAAGGCCCAUGUCAUAUGGGCAUAUGGUGAAGGCCCAUUAGGUACCUCAAGUUGGGAAAGGGCCCAGGUUGUAUGGGCGGGUGAGGGUACGAUCAAGUCUGGGGAAAAAGCGGAAAAAAAAAGGACCCGGAUAAUGGAUCGGGGGUUUGAACCCGACGUGAAUCGAACACGCAACCUUCUGAUCUGGAGUCAGACGCGCUACCAUUGCGCCACGGAUCCGGUCAUUGAACAAUCGUCAACGUUCCACAAUUUAGCUGGUAAUAUUACACCAGCUCUAGCAUAUCACCUCCAUCAGUUGGCACGAGCACAUACAAACGCACCGUACGAUCGACGGACCGACACAUCAGUACGCGCGCGGUGCCUUCAACGCGGGCGGAAAACGAGCCUCGCGCGCGGCCGGCCAUGGCCACACGGCUACCCCUCCUCCGCCAUCGCCACCGCGCGCGUGUCGUUUCCUUCGUCGUCAGCUAGUAGCUGCCUACCCGGCUGCAUGCACUACGCGCGCGGUACGUACAGAUUGCGGUACGUCUCUUUCCCCGUAUUGAUUGAAACCAUGUGUCCCUGUCGUUGCAUAUGCCCCUGAUCCAUCCAGCCGGUGGUUGCGCCGUCUCCUCGCCCGCCCGCCCGCUCACAAACGCGCAAGUCUCAAAAGCCGAGAGCGCGGCACCACCGCAGCAUAUGCAGCGCCGCCGUCUGCUGUCCGAAAUUGGAUUCCCUGGUUGCUGCUGCUGACUGCUGAGCCAUCUCAGAGGUUGGCAGAGCCUCACUCCUGCAGGCUGCAGCCUGCAGAGUACGUGGUCAGUGCUGUACUCUGGAUUAAUCUUUUUGCCUCUUCGGCUAGCUAAUUUACAGUUUACAGAUGCUGAGAUGAUGCUGGCUGGCCAUGGUAAUAUAAUAGGCGUACCUCGCCAAGACCAUGUGGCAUGUCCGAAAGCAGGAUGACUAAUUAAUUAAGUACUAACGUGUGAGAAUUAAGAAACGACCUCUCACAUGCAAGAUUAUGAGAAAAGGAAGACUUAAGUUUACUGUUACUGUACGUGUGUACCAACUCCCGAUUGAGAUAUGUGAUGGAUUGGUCAAAAGACUGACUGUCUGUUUUUCACAGCACUGCGACCAGUAAGAGAUACACACAGUAUAUAUACGUACUAGUACUACGGAAGCCAUGUUCAGAUGCCAUCAGGAGGAGGGCAAGAACAGAACGGUGUUCCUGCAAAGUUUAUCCUUGGACCGCUCUUUGGCGUUAUAAAUUGAGAUCAUGCGUGCUCAUUUAAGCGGCUACUGGUGUACUACAUGGCGUGGCGCUGUCCGCAUGUGCAGCCAUACAGCGCUAAAAAGGAUCCCAGUUUCUCCCCUACGAUAAGAAGCAUUUUUCCUGUUUACCACUGUGAUUCCUUUCUGCUAUAAAUGUGUGUUUUGCUAGUCCACGCCAAAGAAAAACAUUGAGCAUUGACCGUGUCAGUGGGUCGUCCAGCCGAGUAGGAGCACUACUUUUUUUUACUGCGUGCGCUUCUUCUCUUCAGAUUAAACUCUGCAGGAGCAGGAGGACAGUCACAUUUGUUCUGAAUAUCAUCAAUGCUGUCCUCCUCUUCAUCAUCACACUGUUUUACGCUAAUUAUUCUUCUUCACGCUUGGAACAGAAAAAGACACUGUAUUCCCCGGGUCGUAACAAAUAUCACAAAACAGUAGCCUGUAACACUGUCUCUCAAGGGUUCAGGGUAAUUAGCCUGUAACCGCGUGUGAUUCUCUCGCUGAUCAACCUACAGACACAUUGAAUUUCUGAGGGUCAUGCUUGCUGACUGUAGAAUAGUAGGAGUAGUAGUGAACUAGUGAUAUACCGUACGUCAGCGCGCGCGUAGGUACUACUACUAGUACGUGCGUAGAGCCUACUGCGAUCGAGUAUCCGAGGGAUGUCGGACGGCAGGUCGCGUCGUUCAUCCGCAACGGCGAAUUCAGCUCGAUCGGUGCAGAAUUUGCCCAGGUUUCCGUAGCUAAGGUGGCAGUCUACUACAGUAUUUAUGGUCAAGGCAUCCAGUGAUGUUAUAUACACCAUGUGGAAUUGUGGAUCUGAUAUAAGCCGUGGAGCAUUUCAUGGAAAUGAAUUUAGCAUCCAAUGUAUUGCUCUCAUUCAAACUUUGACCGUUUCAAUUUUGGGAAUAAAUUUGUAAAUGUUUUAAUAUAUAGGGUACUGUUGGAGUAUGUUGUAUGUUAAGUAGUAGUAUAACCAUACGACUCCGUUCAUCGACUUACGCUAAUUUCAAAGUAAUGAUAGUCGAAACUGCAGCAGUACUAAUCGACAUUGACAGAAAUGGACUCAUCACUCGAGCAGACGUCCAUUAAUUUUUUUUAUUCAUUUAAAUAAUUAUAAAAAAAUAAAAAAAAUUAACAAAGAUAUGAUAUAUAACUCCAUAAACAUAUAAGAUUAAAUUUGACUUCUACGAGUUGUAAACAAAAAAAUAAAUUAAACUGAAACCAGUUAACGUAAAUUCACAUUUGUAUUUAAUAUUUGUGUUACAAUUUGCAAAAAUCAAAUUUUAAUUUGCAUAUUUUUUUGCGGGGAUUUUAAUUUUAAUUUGCAUAUUUGCAAAGCGAUAUAUCUCAUAUUAAUAUGUCUUGUUACUUUUUUUGUUUGUAAUAAUUAUUUAGAUGAUAUGUAAGAAAUGAGGGAUAUCCUCCUGAGAGAGAACUAUUUUCCCGACAUUGACAAGUAUUUAUGAAUGGAGAUAGUAAGUAGACACAGUUAAAACGUGCUCUUGGAAGCAAUGCUGGUUGCAGUGGCAAGUGAUGAGCAGAUUCACAAUGUGCUCCUCCUCGUAGGCAGCAUAGCAACAGGGAUACGUAUCGCCGUUUUCUUUUUUUCUUUUCGGUUGGUAGAAUUCGAAAGGGAAGGGCGAAAAAACCUUGUCUUUCAUGUUUGGAAAUCCGAAGUUUAAGAUGAGCCAAGACAUAAUUCCUUGAGAUGCACAUGCGGCUGUGCGUGAAUCGGUUUACAUGGGGUGGUCCUGCAACAAAUGGACACGGAACCCCAGUGGCCAGUGUUCCUGGCUAAACUUCCUAUACCAUCAGAUGCAGGUGCAGAACUGCAGAUAGACAAAAUUUAUUUACAGCGCGGUGCGUUUUCAUUUCUGUCCUUAUUUCAAACAAAAGAGGAGGCAGUUUUGUUUGAGUACGUAUGACGCCAGAGUCUUUUCAAAAUUUGGAAAGACCGAAACUGCAACCCUUGAAUGGGAUUGGCCCGAACCCGAUGAGUAAAACGGGUUGCCGAAAAUGUCCAGCGAGUCAAUUGCCAAGUGAGACGGAACAGAGUCUUUUUCACCUGCAGGCAGCAAAGGGGGCGUUGAUUCCACGCACCGCCAUAACUCCUGGCCAGAACAGAGGGCAUGCCGUACGCCAGCCAGUGCUGGGCCAGACCAGUAACAUGUCAUGACGCGUCUCUUGUUCAUGGCACGGUAAACCGGCCAUCGCCAACACCCCCAAAAAAAUGUGGCAGCUAUCCGACGAGAUCGAUAAAACAUGGCCGUGUGACCGAUCGCAUUAACAUACACAAAAGCCUGUCGUGUGUUGGAUUCCGGUGACUGCACCUUGCGUUUACAGCACAGUGGCGCACGCACGAUCGAUCGAAAUGACGGGGAGAUUACGCGCGGCCACCGAGCAAAUCGGCGGAAACAUAUGGAGGGGAGCACCGAAAAUUCAGCGGUGCAGCGCGCACGACGAGAGGCGGCACACGCAGCGGUAGCUCGACCGAGAAAGAAAGAAAGAAAAACUCGAUCGCCUUGUGUUACUUCCACCGCACGGGCGACUGGAUUGAUCUGGACGGCAGAGAUGGGUCGUGCCGGGACUGGAACGAAGAGCGGAAUACCGACCCUGCCCUCGCGUCGUACCUGCUGACGUGUGGGGCCGCCCUCGCGGUCUCACUGAAUUCCACCCCAAGAAGAAGAUUCUGAACAUACGAUCGACUGGCUGAGUGUUACAGCGUCGCGUCGGGGCCUAUAUAUUUAUGCCGCUGUGUGGACUGGACGUCUGGACCUUGGCCACCCAACCACUGCACCGGGGGGCACUACUGCACUCGAUCGAUCAGUGGAAAGAAGAGCUCUCGGCUCUCGCGGAGUGGAGGACUUGGAGUGGUUGAUUGAUCGAUCGGAGCGGAUGGGGCGGUCGCCGUGCUGCGAGAAGGAGGCCGGGCUGAAGAAGGGGCCGUGGACGCCGGAGGAGGACCAGAAGCUGCUCGCCUACAUCGAGCAGCACGGCCACGGCUGCUGGCGCUCGCUGCCCACCAAGGCCGGUACGUGCGUGCCAUGCGAUCUCGGUUUUCGGCCUCUGAUAACUAGCUAAAUCGCCUGAUCGAUCCGCCAAUUGCUCACUGGUGUGGUUUUUUGGGGGAAUGCGUGUGUUGACGCAUAAUUCAGGGCUGCGGCGGUGCGGCAAGAGCUGCCGGCUCCGGUGGACGAACUACCUUCGGCCGGACAUCAAGAGGGGCAAGUUCACGCUGCAGGAGGAGCAGACCAUCAUCCAGCUCCACGCGCUCCUCGGAAACAGGUGAUCAUCGCCUCGUGCUGUGCAGGUGUACGCAGCACUUCUGCAGGAAUCAUAUGCUUUAUUUUCGACAUUCUUUUCGCCCUCUACACUAAGAAAUUAUUCUAAACUCUCCUGGGAUACUCUUCGUUGUUAUAUGACAUCUAAAUGGUUAUAAAAAAAUUAACAAGAUAUAUUAAUAUGUGAUAAAUUACUCCAUAAAUAUAUAAGGUCAAAUUUAACUUUUCCAAGUUGCAUGAAAAAAACAAAUUUGACUAUGAAUAUAUGUUAACUAGUUAUAGUUUAAUUUGUUUUUUUAACCUGUAAAAAUUAAAUUUUAACUUACAUAUUUAUGGAGUUUUCUAUUACAUAUUAAUCUAUCUAGUUAAUAUUUUUAAUUUUUUUAUAACUAUUUAGAUGACAUACAAAUAACGAGGAGAUAUUCUCUCGAGAGUAGAAUCUGCUCUCCCUCUGCACUGCAGUGCUCUGCACCGCACAGCCUCUCCCCACUUUGACGACCAUGCAACACAGUACACGUAGUACCGACUGUCACCGAAGCCAGAUGGAUGUAGAGUACAGUACGUGAGAUAAGAGUGAAAAAAUACUGGAGUCCAUCUACCGGGUCCUUUUUUUGGUUUCACCUUAGUCACGUUUACAAUUAAAGCCCUUGAGCCCCCGCUGGCUUCGCUGUGCCUCACCAUGCGUGUCAGGGCUAGUGGACCAUUUGUCACCGCCUUUUGCCCUGUCCAUCUCCAUGUUGACUUGCCUAUCUCCGCCUCCACAAUUCACUGCACGCACCACACACACCUCCAAUCAUUUAGGCAUUCUAUAGGAGUAGUAGAUUCAGGUGGUAAAAGAGAAUUUGCAGUUGCAACAAUGCAGGAAAAAAAAUAAAAGGUAACUGACACUCAGACGCACGUACACAGGUGGUCGGCGAUCGCGACGCACCUGCCGAAGCGGACGGACAACGAGAUCAAGAACUACUGGAACACGCACCUGAAGAAGAGGCUCGCCAGGAUGGGCAUCGACCCGGUCACGCACAAGCCCCGCGUCGACGCCGACGCCGACGUCGCCGCCGGCGGCGGCGCGGCGGGCGGCGGCGCGCGUUCCAGGGCCGCGGCGCACCUCAGCCACACGGCGCAGUGGGAGAGCGCGCGGCUCGAGGCCGAGGCGCGCCUGGCGCGGGAGGCCAAGCUGCGGGCGCUCGCCUCGCCGCCGCCGGCAACGGCCGCGCUAAGCGGGGUCGACUCGCCGACGUCGACUCUCAGCUUCUCGGAGAGCGCAUUGUUCGGCGCAGGCAGUGCGGCCCCCGACAUACACGGCGCCGCGCGCGCCGCCGCCGUUCAGGCCGUGCAGUCAUCAUACGGGGAGGCGUGCCAGGAGCACCACUUCGGCGGCGCCACCGCCGAGACGAGCUUUGCCGGAGCCGGGACGCUGGCCGGUGUCCUUCUUGACUGCUCCGUCACCGGCGCCGACCAGAGAUUCGCGGAGAGGACCGAGGCCUGCUCCGGCGAGCUGCAGGGGGAGGACGACGACGACAAGGGCUACUGGAACAGCAUACUGAACAUGGUCAACUCGUCCAUGUCGUCGUCUUCCUCGUCGUUGACUUCCGAGGUGGUCACGGACACCGAGAUGUUCCUGCCGGCGACGGCAGCGGCGGCGGCGUCGGCGACGCCGGUAGAGUUCUGAACGCUGAGAGGAGCCUAGCCCACACGCUCGCGGCUCGCAGCCUCGCACUCAAAACAUUGAUUAGUCUGUGGGCUGUGGCUGUCGUGCAAGUGGCUAGUACUAAUAUUAAUUCGUUAUUAAUUAGCGUGUUAGGUUAAUCUCGCCGUGUUUUGGUUAAUUUCAUCUCGCUGUGCAAUAAGCAUGUACUGAUUUUGGUUUGUUUCUGUUGUCUCGUCUGAUGUAAUGUGUGUUGAGCAAAGAAUAGUAUCAACGGUUGAACUAUCACAUAUAGUACUGCUGCAUCUUGAAUUCUCCGGACUUCAAUUUAACGGGAAGCACAGCGGAAAAUAUUUUCACUGAACUUAAUGUUUUACUACUCCCAGUUAAUAAUUAUACAACUUUUAAUUCCAGACAAUGCGUGUCUCAUCGCCUACUUGAUUAAAAUCGUGAAAAAAAAAUAUCGGCCCAAACAAAGCAAAUCAAAUUUUGUGAUCCAUUUCUAAAGCCCAAUUUUCAUUCACCUUUGCUAUUCAUUGGUCGUCUGAAAUUGGAAGAGCCUUAGGGCAUCUCCUGUGGAAAAAUCGAUUCAACUGACAUACAUCAGUUUUGGAUUUUUGAUUGAAUGCCUCAGUGUGGUGGGUCUCACAUGGAUUAGCCUAUGGCCCCAGGAACGAAAUGGUGUUUUAUUCAACUUGAUUCGUUCGAUUUCAAGCUCUCACAAGUUGAUUUGAUUGCCACAACGUGUAUAAUCAAUUAUCUUCUACGUGGUUGGAUUUAUAGCACACAAUGAAUAUGGCCUUAGGACUGAUGCCAUAAAAACUGAUCUGCUAGAUUUUACUGGAUUAGGGGUACAGGUGUAGUGGCCGGUGGGAGGGGAAGGGUGAUUUUAUAAGAAUGGCCAAGGUAGUGGAAGAUCAUUUAGACAAGCGAACAAUGAUGCAUUAGAACCGUGAGGAUGAAAGAGGAUGAUUGGCAGAUUUAGUGACAUCAGGACUAGAGUGGUGGAAUUGUACCGACACUGAUGUAGAGGCAUAGCGGCGGUGACAAAAGAGGAGGAUGAGGGGGGAAAUGCCGGAUGGCAGUAUUUGCGCAUGGGGAUUGUAGAGAGAAGCGACUAGGUUGUAGGGAUUGCACAAAUCCCGCUACAGUGUUGUCUACUGGUAAUAGAAAAAGAAUAUAAACUACUGAUCCUUUUCUAUCAAGAAAUCAGAUUAAGAAGCUAUGAACCGACAUGCAAAAAAAGAGUAAAAUUCCCCCCCCCCCCACACUAUCUUAAUCUCUUUGUUUAUCCACACAGCGAAAAACCAAGAACAGGGACAACUCUAUCAAGCACCUAUAUAUAUAUAUAUAUAUAUAUAUAUAUAUAUAUAUAUAUAGCUAUCCUGCAUUCCUAUUAGAGAGAAUCUAUUCUAUAUCACUGAGUUUGUUCGAGUUCAACAAUUUGUCAUUGACAUUGUUUUUUUUCUAUAAUAUACCGACGACUUUAUCAAUUGUUCUACAAUACGCUAUUGGGUUGGGCCUUUUUUUUCAAAAAUACCUAAAAUAUCCUUAGAGACAUACAAGAUUAACAAUUGAUUUAUCUCAUUAGAAGUUUCAAAAAAAUAUGAAAAGUUUUAUGUGGCCUUGUUACACAACAUGGAAGUUUGUAUAAUGUUUCAAGUUUUUUCUGGUAUAUUUAGUUUUUAGAAAAAAAAUAUUUUUAUGUGGUAUAUGAGAGAAAAUUUGUUUAUAUAAGAGAUAAUAGCACAAAAAUAUCUUAUGUAGUGUAUGAAAGAUGAUUUAUAUUAAAAACAUCAAUAAAAAAGUAUUUUAUAUAGCAUAUAACAAAUAAGUUAUAUAUUCUGUAAAAGAUAUAAAUGUAAAAAACUUGAAACUUCUAUACAAACUUUCAUGUUGUGUAAGGAGAUCAUAUAAAAAUUUUCAUUUUUUUUGAAACUUCUAAUAGAAUAAAUCAACUGUUAACCUUAUAUGUCUAUAAGGGUAUUUUGGGUAUUUUUGAAAAUAAUGUCCAUCCCAAUGGUAUAUUGCAGAACGUACAAUUGAUAAAGUCGUAGGUAUUUUACAGAAGGAGACAAUAUCGAUGGCAAAUCGUUGAACUCGAAUAAACUCAGUGGUAUAGAAUAAAUUCUCUCUUCCUAUUAUGUAGCAAUCUUAUAUUGUUAUCCUCAUUCAGGAAUCGGUGUCACAGGAGAAGGCAGCUCAUCUACACGAAACUUUGUUGUAAGAAAAGAGCUAAUUCUUGAUGGACUUACUACAUGGGAUUUCUCUGAUAAGUCUUAUGGGGUUAAUAAAAAGAGAUUUAUAGAGUAUUUAUUCCAUAUCUGUCGUUAUCAUGUGAAAUUAUUUUCUCUUCAUCUCGUUCAAUUUCCUUCAAACCGAACAAGGUUAUAAGAUUGUGAACCCAGCUCGAUUGAACAUUAAUUUGAACCCCUUCUGUAGGCUAUACCUGUACCUACUUGGCUACUGCAUGUCUACAUCUACAUGUCCAUGCACAGUGUCUCUGGCUUUUCGCACAUUAACGAUGAACCGGUCGCCGGUCGGUGAUCUGUAUGUAGUGCCUGAUCACUAGCUAGACAAGCAGAUAGUAAGUCGAUCGAUCGGCUUGCACAUCAACGUCGUAAAAGACCACGAAAAAAAUAACGUGCUGUUGGGCGUAUGAUGGUCGCGAGUUUUUCCGGCUUUCAAGGUGUGUUUAUACGUCUAACAAGGAGGUGCGGCCAACGAACCGCGUAAUUGCGUAAACUUAACAUUACGGCCGGCGUUAAUUACUUGGUGCAACUUCGUCUUCUCCUUUUGGUUCUUUCUUAGCUGACAGAAGCAACGCGUUACUGAUCAACUUAAUUAAUUCCUCGUUUGUUUCUAAACUAGAAUCAGAUUCAGUUCGGUCCUUCAUUACGCUGAUAAAAAUGACACCCUCUAAUUCCUCUAAGAAAACGAAAAACUGACAUAAAUCUUGAACCAGGCCCAGCUAAUAUCCAUCACCUUGUGAACUCAAAGUAGUACAAGUACAGUGGUAGUGGACGACUAGUACUCGGGCAAGAAAUUGGGCCCAAAUUACACGAAGCCCAUAAACAAAUUGGCCUUCUCGAGUUGCACUCCAAACCCGGCCUAACUGAACACGCACAGCACAUCAGCCCAAGCCCACUUAGAAGAGAAAGGCCCAGUUAAAUGCUCUGGUCGUCUUUUUGCCCCCAUUUUCGCGAUCAAUGAUUUCUUUUCUCCCUCUCCUCUUCUCUGUAUCUCUCUAUUACAUGGAAGAUGUACAAGCAUGCAUACUAUGUGUACAUGCACCGUGACUCAUGUAAGCGUACCUGUAUGUGAGGAUUCUGGAUAUAAAUACUGAUGAUAGAAUUCCAUCACCAUACUCCAAUACUUCAGUUUUUCCAUACUCUAAUGACAGGUUUUCCAUAUGUCUCUCAGGGUUUUUAUGAGAUCAUGGAGACCGGCACAUCAUUAAAUUAGUAGUUUGAAUAUCGAAUACAUUUUCCUAAAAAAUGAACAAAAUUGGAAGAAAAUUGAAUUAGUAACAAAACACCUGAAAUUAGUAAUGCGUACCCAUACCAGCAUCCAAGGAAAUGCCAAUAUUUAAAUUGAGUCAGAAAGAUAUAUAUAAUGAAAUUAGUGAUGCGUGCGUACCCAUACCAGCACCGAAGGAAAUGUUAUAUUUAAAUGGCUUCGGUACGGAGUAUCUUUUUGAAUCACGGGAAAUAUUUGCACUUACUUCCCUUUCCCCAAUAGAAAAGGCAUCUACUGGUCAUAAAAAUUCGCUCCAACUGAUAGCCUCUUCUCUCUUUUCUAAUUGCUGCCUAGUACAUUGUUGACAUGGUCUCAAAGUACAUAUGUGAUCAUUGUUUUUUUUUCUAAUUAUAUUUAUAAAUAUAUUUUAAAAUAUAAAUAAAUGUGAUUAACAUGUGAAAUCUUAAUAUUUUAUAUAAUAGUGAUUUUUUGCAAGCUAGUGAUUUAUAUUUGAGUGCCCUCAAUUUCAAAACUAAACACCGGCGGUGUGGUGGAGCCGUGGGUGCAUGACUCCGCCUAUCAAGAUUUAAAUUUUGGUGCCAACGAAUAUUUACGCACAUGCAAGUGGACUUAUAUACGAAUUUAGUGAGACUAGGGAUGCCGCUGGUUUCCAUCUCUUUAAGCGUGUGAUAGGGAGCAUUUGCGGGUGUGUGAUUAUGAUGUAGCGUGUGCAGUGGUGUGCACGAGUGUGCUUCUACUGAGUAAUCACAAAAAUAAAAAAAAUACUACAAUUCUAAAAUUGAAAUUUAUCCUAAAUUAAAUGUAAUCUUAGAGUAUCAUUUUCUCUCCAACCAUCUCUCCUUCAAAUUCCUUUCUAUCUUACCCAAAUACUCUUCUAAUCAAGGUAAUAAAUACCGUAUAAUUGUCUGGUAGCAGAUUGUGGAUAAUGGGUGCUAAGUUCCAAUAGCAGAAUUAUAAAAAACAACUAUAAAUUUAGAUUGUACAUCAAUAUCAACAUCAAGUUCAACUGAAGAUUUAGAAUUUAGAUUGCACACUUAAUUACUCCUAUACUCCUAUUUCAUAACAUAAACAAAUAUAUGAAAUACAUAUAAAUAUAUAAGAUAAAGAAGGCACACGAUGCUAAGUCAUAUACUAUCCCUAAAUAUAUAAAAACAUCGUUCAAGCAUUAUAGCGGUACAAUAAAGUCAAUAGCGGGCUGCUAUUGCGAUCGUGAAGCGUUAUAGUGGCCACUAAGUUCUAACACGCUAUCUUCGGUUCGCUAUCUUAUAGUGGUAGCGGUAGAGGGUCACUACCACUAUUAUGGUCACUACGAAUGCUAUUAUUACCUUGCUUCUAAUUUUAACCAUCCCUCGUUUAACGUCAGGUGUAACUAAUUUAGGAUGGAGCGAGUACACCAUUUAUUUAAGAUCAGCGGAGCUUCAAGUUAUUAAAAAAAAGAAAUAAAAAAGAGCGGAGCUGCACAUGGACUCUUCCAUCCUCCAAAGGCAAACUGACGAGUGACAGCAAAGAGGCGUGCAACUUCCUUAAAAAAGGGUGCAAGGCCUGCAACUGGUAAGUUCACAGGGAGUACUUACGUACGAGAGCGUGAAAGUGGAAACUGCCCCAUUUUAGUUGUUGCUUUUGCACUGCUCGAAUCCCCAGAAUCUUGCCCUUUUCGUCUCACUGAUGAUUGACACUUGUGAUCGCCAGGCAUUAGAUUAGUACUUUUGCUAAGCACGAUGACAACAGGAGAUCAGACUAAGUCCUGUUGGUCACUUUAUUUUUGAGGUGCUGAGUCAUAUCCUCGUUUGGCCAUUGGUCCUAGGGCAUCAUAUUGCUGCUUCUGCUGCCUCACAUGGGCUCCAGUAACCAAGAACUUUGUUUUGUUCAAGUUCCCAUGUGUACGUGGUUUGGUUUGAGUGCAGGCAGCUUGGAGAUGCAGCAUUGAGGAUUUCCCAAUCAAGAUCCUUUGUGUCAAGAAUAAGGAAAUUGCUGCUGUGUACUCCAAUAUUUCAUGAAGCAAUUUUAAUUAGGAUUAUAUGAGUAGCUAGGAUGCAUGGGAGAUAUUUGUUUUCCUGCAAAAACAGGUCCUACAAUAUUAAUUAUACAUUUGAAAUAGGCUAGCUUGCUCCUGCUUGCACCUGUAUAUUUUUUCCUUCAGAAAUGAAGGUCUAUUAUAUGACUGGAAAUUAAUUAUACAGAUAAACUAUUGUGAGUGAACAGAGUAUUGACCUCUCUUUUUUUUUCAGAGGAUAAUAUAGAGGAAUAUUGGUAGCUAGGAAUCAUGUUAAAGAACUAUGCAUAACUACUUUUAUAUGAUAAAGAAGAGCUAAGCAAAAAUUUACAGUCAGAUGGUAACAUAAGGAAAAAUGGUACUAUCAAACAAUCGGUCUUAUUGGGGAAAAGGGACCACAUAGGAAUUUAUGGGAUUAGGAUGGUUGGGAAGCAUGUAGUAGAGUUCAAAAGGAAUGACCAGAGCAAUUGAUACUGGAAAUUUCUUUGACAUUUUUUUCAUGAUUCUAGUGCGUUCAACCUCAUGUUAACAUCAAAUCCCAACAUUUUCCUAUUCUUUCAUUUCGCGAUACUACUUUACAAACUAUCCACGCAUACCACUCAUUAUGUCACUGUGAAUGCAUUGAGAUACAUAUGAGACACUUGUUUUGCUUCCUAGAGUGCGUCCAUAGUUAUGCAUUUUAAUGCUUCCAAUCUUUCAAAAACGCCAUACAUGCUUAGAAUUUGACUUGACCUCUUAUUCGACUGGCCUCAAUUUUGGGCUGGUAGAGCUUUGAUAAUAUGUAUUGGUCUUGAGAGUAGCCCGGCCCAACUACAUAUUAUUGAAAUUUCUAUGGAAUUUUUAUCGACAUAAAUGAAAAGAAAGAACAUAAUGAUAAUUAUAGGGUAGAUUUUAAUUACUAUAGUCGGGGCAAACUUUCAGGAUUUAUUUACUUUUUAUUGUCUCUAGUUAAAGCUCUAUCUAGCUGCAUGGCAAACAACACACAAAACAUUAAUAGGUAAGCAUGAUAUUUGCGAGUGUUGAGAUAGAAAUAUGGAUCCCCUUAUUAACAUUUUUUGUUCUUUUUUGAAGUACAAAGUGACCAGUAUUGUCCUAUGUAUGGUUAAUAAGAGUAGAACAAAAUGUCCAUUUAGCUACUACAAAAUGUAAAACACCUUUUCUUUAAAGCAUAUUGUCCUUUCUUUUAUUAUUGUUUGAAUUUUUUUAUAUCGUCAUGCAUAACUCUUUGUGAAAGAAACACUUUGUUUGAUGUGCAUCGUAUUCUCAAUGAUUUACAAGAUAAAGUGUAAAAACUUGAGUUUACUCAUCAGUAAUAAUUACUUUUUUUGAGGAGCUUAGUGACCGUCAAUUUCUUUGGCUUAACAAAUAAAAUUCAAUAUAUAUAAGUGACCAAACUUUCCUCCCUCUGUACCAUUUGGGAACUAUCUACAAACUUUUAUAUGCAUGAACAUGUCUACAAACUAUCUACAAACUUUUAUAUGCUCGUGCGAUCGUGCCACUUCUUCAUUCGUUUGGCGGCCAAUUUUUAACAUAUCCAUAUGACUUUCUUGGCGUGCAAUAAAAGAACAAUUUUGCUAUAUCUCACUCGAAAGAUUUUUUCUUAUCUCUCACUCGAUUUUCUCACUUAAAUUUACAGUGCAUCUUCUUGUAAGUUACAGUGUAAUUUAUGAAACUUACACUGUAACUUUUGUAAGUUACACUGUAAUUUUUGAAUCUUCGCAUGUAAAUUUUAAAUUUUGUAUUGGAUUUGGUCUUUUUCUUGAGGAUAUGGUAAUUUAGUGUCUAUUAUGGUGUUUCUUAAUUGCUUUUUGCUUUUUAUUAUAUCUAUCAGAUUUUAAUCUAUAAGUCGACUUUGUGAACUAAGAAUUUUUUUAGAUUACUCUAGUAAAACGAAUCUCCAACUCAUCGAAGCACAAGUAACGACACAUUGCCAUUUAUAAAAUAUCAAGAUAAGAAAUGCUUCACAACAAUAGUGCAAACGAAAAUUCUUGUAAAUUAAUCUCAUGGAGUAAAAUGAAACCAGUGUGUUAAAUUAGCGACAAUACAUCAUGCCAUCAUAUAUCAUAGUUUUGGAGGUCAAACACUAAGCUCUAGUGUGUUAAACCGUGGGCUAUGUAAUGGUGCUAUAGACUUUCUAGAAUCCCUUGAACCAUAUGCAUUUUUGUGGUCAUAAUAACUUAUUGAACUCAUGGACAUCUUUUAUGCAUGACGUGAAUAUAAUAGAUAAACUGAAAAUAAAUUUGAAGAUUAUUUUUUACUAAAUAAAUGCACUAGCUGAACAGGAGUUCAGGACUGGAAAUUCUAUUUUCUAACCUUUUUUUAUCAGACCCCUAAACUUGUAGCAGAAGAGAAUAUUUGAUUAGCCUUCAAGAUGAUUUGAAUUUCCUUUUAAAAAUAAUAUGGCCAUUGGCCAUUAAUUAAGCAAGUUACUGAUCCCACCUAUAUAUAGACAUAAUUAUCUGAGUAAUACAACUUUAGUUUGCAUCUGUUGAAUUUUAGUUCUCCAAAUAUUGCUCAAAAAUUAAUUUAAAUUAACUUGGUGUUUUCUAAAGGAACAAACAAAACUGAUCAGUCUAAGGAUGCAUAUGCAUGUAUCUGAAUGAACAAAUUAAUAAGUCUACUAAUUAAAGGAUGCUCUGAUCUAUUUCGCUCGAUAUAUAUAACCUCUCAUUUUUCUCUUGACAUGUCCACCAUGAUUGAGUGUAGGCAGAAACCUUAGCUUCCUCAGAGCGUAAAAGGCACUUUCACAGGGACAUAUGGUGUACUUGGUCACAUGGGUUCGCUCUGCUAAUCGCAUCGCUUUCCGGAGCUCGAUCCGUUUCUCAUUGGCCAGUGCAGCAAGCAGGACAUGAUGGCCGUCACAUCAUCCAAUCCCUUCCCCAUUGGUCGGUGUACGGAUGACCAAUUGACCAUCAGGACCUCGAUUUGGGCGUUUACGGUUUUGUUCGAUUUAUUCUGUUAACCACUCCAGCUUACCUUAGUUCAAAACAAACGUAAGCGUAUACAUCAUCCGUGGGAUAAAUAUCCCCAUACGAAUCGUGCUCAGAAAGACGAACACGAAACAUUUCAUUGACGUAUUACAAUAUAUUAUGGACCGAUUCUACGUGUCGAGCGGGUAAGGAAUGUCUAACUACCAAGUAAAAAGCUGCUAUCGUGACGAUGCCUUACUGGAAUAGAGAUGGUGUUUGGUGUUUUGUGGGUAAACUGUGGAUCUGCUAGUAUCAAAAGGUGCGAUACCAUCAUUACUAAUUAAAUAUAUGUACUAAUUAAAUAUAUGUAUGCGACAGGUUGUCACCAGCAUAUAUAAAUAUGGAAACUUAUAGUGCUAUAUAUGCAAUACUUUAUGUAUAGGGUUAUAGGUUGUUAUUAUUGGAUAGAAAUGAACCGAUUGGAUCGAAUAUUUUUAUUUAAGAGGCCAAUAGGGCAAAACAGAAUUAAAGAUAUAAGGUUGCAUGGGUAAAUAUUGGCCUGUACAGUUUGUAGCCAACGUGGGCCUUAAACAAAAUAUUAGCAAGGUGAAGUUUGGGUAUUAUCAAAACUUGCAUUUGGUCUGCUAUUAAAUUGAAACCAAAAUUUUAAUUUAUGUUACGGUUGAUUGGUUUUAAUUUAUCUAAUGUUUGGUUUAAUGCCAUCUGGAGUAACAAACAGUAUAUGCUAUCAAAGUUUUGAUAUUUUUGGUAGGAUUAGUACUAUUAUGGUAGCAUACCAUAUGGGUGGCGUAUUCCAUUGUCAUUGUUAACUUUUGAUACGUUUUUCUUUGCAUCCAUCCGAACAAGCCCAUAAAUUAUAUUAGUGCUUGUGUGAUAUUUGCAAAAAAGUACGUAGUAGUACAUAGUAAUUAACUGUAUAAAUUAACAUUUCUUGUUAAAUGUUGGCAUGUAUCAUGUAGAUCUGAAGCUGAUCAAACAACUUAUCUCGUUCCCGUACACUCACAUCUUGAAACUAGCUAGUUUCAAUCGGGACUAAAGAUGAGCAUAUUUAAUCCUAGAUUCGGUGUCUCUGUUUGCAACCCAGAAUUAAAGGGGUUGUAAACUGAGUGUGAAAAUGAGUUUUCCAGCACUGUAGCUUGAUCAUGUGGGCUUGUAAACCGCCAUGCAGACAUGCACAUCACUCAAGCAAAGCUACAGAAGUUGCUGUUACAGGGAAAACGUGAGCUUCACGUGAACGUCGUCUGCAGAUGCUGCAGACAUCAUGUUGCAUGCAUCUCUCGGUUUUGCUAUAACAAGCAAUAAUCACAACUUUUAAUGCCAAAAGUCCAAGUAUGCUUCUCCUACGACUAUACGUAUAGCCUUUAUACAGCAAGCACUGGUACUUUGGUUACAUAUAUCAAGAGCGAAUCAGGUUUAGUCUAUUGAUUCCUUUCCUUCCUGAUGACGUUUAAUUAUUCUAGUAGCUUUUUAGGUGUUGUGGCCGGCAGGAAUCUCCGAAUGUUCAGCAUUUUGUAGCUAACUAGGAAGAUAGCCCGCGCAUUCGCGUGGUCAUGCGCAUUAGUUUGUUUCGAAAAUAGUUCUAACAAAAAAUAAAAUUAAAGUAAUAUAUGUUCUAUUGUUAAUUGAGUAUUUAUUGUAUCUCUUUUUAUGAAGAAAUCUUAACAAACUUUCAUUAGUAAUAAAUAUUUUUUUACAUCCUGCUAGCCCUCUCUUUAGUUGCUUCAUAUAUAUGCAAUUCGUUAUGCAUGUGAAUCAAUAAAGAUAGAAAAAAAUCUUUUACAAAAUAUUUAUUGUAUUUUGAAUUUAGUGAUUGAGUGAUUCUUAAUUGGACUUUGUAUUCAAAUCAAAUUACUUUAUUCUAAAUUGUCUUUUUAGGGAUUUUAAAUUGUACUUAAUCUUGUAUCGUGUUGUAUUCGAACUCUUCUUUUAAUACUUAUUUUAUUAUUCCAAAUUUUAGAUAUUUAUAAUUUAUACUUUUAUAGGGACUCUUGAUAUUUUAUAUUCUACAUGGAAUCUUGAUAUAUAUUUUUUUUAUAGUUUUAGUGUUUUUUUAAAAUUUUUGUUUGUGUAUUUUAAUCAAAUUGCUUGUUUUAUAUUUUUUAUCUGAAUUUAAUUACGAACUCCUUCUGGUGAUCCGCCUGUCACCAUCAGCCUCACCGACAUUGUUGACCUCCUCAUCAGUGAGCCUCUCUUGAUACAUUGGACAUGACGUGGCGGGGCUCAGUGGCAAAGAUGAAGCUGUUUUCUAGUUCUUGUUGAAGACAUGGAACGUCUCCCUCUGCCCCCUCCUCUUAGUCCUUGCCCUUCAUCUAAUCAUUUAGCACGCUAUUAGGUCCAGGAACUUGUAGAAGUCAAUGCUGCUGCUGCCGUCGGUGUCCACCUCACUAAUAAUAUCUUGUAGUUCCACCUUCAUCGGGCUCAGGCCUAGAGUAUGCAUCAUGGUUCUAAGCUCCUUGGUGGUGAUUGAACUUGGACUUUAGACCCACACAUUUGAAUUCAUUCAUCGUUUUCGAAGCGCUAUUUUGCUCAAAUAUUUGUAGUCGGAAUAGCCGCAUUAUCUAACUUCUAUAUAGUAAAUAUGGGCAAUAUGGAUCUUGAAUUUAAUUAUAAAUAACACAACAAAUCAAAUAAACUGAGAAAAGUACAUGUAACUUGAGAGUCAUGAUCAUUUAGCUAUUAUUACUAUUUUUUAUAUAUUAUGUGCUAGGUAGAAAAUAUGAAAAGUUAGCUAAAAAAAUAGGAUAUGAGAAUUGGAUCCCAGAGAUGAGUAGGACGGUGGAGGGAGUACGUAUGUACGUGCAUGCUCACAUACGGUAGGGGUGGAGGUGGGUGUACCGGAUUUAUUUUUGUGAGAUGUAGCAAUUAUAAUUAUUGGGUCUACCUAUUUAAAGGAAAAUCAAUGGUUUGAUUUUUUUUUAUCAUAAUUUCUAGGAACUUUUAAUUUAUUUGAGCGCUACAUGGCGUCUUAUGAGUGUUUGUAAAAAAUCAUGUGACAGUUUGAGAGUAUUUGUAGGGAGUUUAAUGAAUUUAUAGUAUAUAAUAGAUAGUUAAUAUAGCAUUUUUUUGGUUCUUUAUGUACUGAACAGCUCGCUAGAAAAUAUGGAUAAGAAAGUGAGCAGGAGAGAUAAUAAGAGAUCAUUUACGAUGGCAUGAUAUAUGUUACUUUUUAUAAUAUUUUAUUACUAUUUAGUUGUGAUAUAAAGGAGUUUAUGUCAAAUGAUAUGUUUCUUAUAUAUGUACAUGCCAAAAUAUGGUAAACAUAGUUCAAAUUAAAAUCGAAUAUAUUAUAAGAUAUUCUAAUUAUUUAGUUGUGUUUUUUAUAUAUAAAAUUUUGCUACCAUAAAUGGAAGGAAGAAGAGAGGGGUGGGGAGACAUACAUACUUUGGAUGUACGUACGUGCUAGGAGAGGAGGGACCUAGGGAGAGGUGUGGACGUACCGCGUACGUGACAUUUUUUUUUACAUAUAUAGAUCUAAUGGUGCAUAAAGUGAAAAUCAAUGGUAGGAUGUUUUCCUUUUUUUUCUUGGAAUUUCUUAGAUUUCUCUAAUUUAUUAGAGCGCCACGUAGCAGCUUAGAAGUGAUUGUAGGAGUCACAUGGCAGCUUAAGAGCGUUUCUAAAAAGUUUAAUGGAAUUACUCAUACGAAGUCUAUUUGUAGACAUUUUUUUUCAUAAAGAUAGAAAAAGAAGAAAGAAACAAAGGGAAAAAAGAGAAGGGAAGAUAGGGAUCGUACACAAUACGUGCAUACUGCACGUAGGUAGGGACGGCGGGAGUUUUUUUUCUUUAAAGAUAAUCUAACGAUCUAAAAUAAUCGGUCCACCUAUUUAAGUGAAAAUCGAUGGUCAGAUUUAUCUAUUUUAUUAGAGUGCCACGUGGCGACUCAAGAAUAUUUUUAGGAUGCCACGUGGCGGCUUGAGAGCGUUUGUAGUUUGUAGAAAGUUUAAUGGACUUUUAGUAUAUAAAAUAGAUAGAUAGAUAGAUAGAUAGAUUUUUAUGAAUAUAAUGAUGUAAAGUGUGCGUCUUUUUUCAUACGAAGAGCAUUUUGUAAAAGUCUCACUUGUUUUAGUUACUCUAGAUCAUCUUUAGCAAAAUAAUCUGAAGCGUUUUGAACUACGGCCGGGAGUACCACACGAAAUUAAUUAUCUGAUCUUUCGUUUUUGCUAGUACUAAUUAGAUGUGCUUUGGAGGGCCUUCAUCAUAUCGCAGUAUAUAUACAAGUGUUGCUUCGGUGGUGUAUGAGGAUAAGGAUUGCUUGUCGUUGUUGCUAGCUGCAACAUGAUUUCUUAAUAUUCCCAAGCUCUACAAAUCUAUGAAUCUAUAUAUUGAUAACAUUUAAAUAAAUCAUUUUGUGUUCAUUUUAGAUGAAAUUUAAAAUUUUAAACUAAUAUAAUUUAACAAGCGAACUUCAAAUCUAUUUUGAAUCUGAGAUCUAGAGUUGUGCCAAACAAAACCUUAAGUAAUGUAAUUGUUUCAAUAUCAAUAAAGCUUUCUUUAUAAAAAAAUAGCUGUGCUUAGUUUGGACUUACUAGUUGGAUGUUUGUCUAAGAAAUAGGAACCAAGAUCCCCAUCUUCAACUGCUCGGGGCACAUCUGCUAGUCGCCCCUAUGCAGGGACCCCCAUGUGUUGAGCUCGGGCACAUAUGCCACUCAUCCCACGGAGAUGGGCUGUGCUUGGGGCACAUCUGUCACCAAGCACGCCCCCUGUGGGCUAAGCUCAGGGCACAUCUGCCACUCGUCCCCGUAUAUGGGCCCCCAUGGGCUAAGCUCGGGGCACAUCGGUACCAAACACCGGCCCCUCGUGGGCUGUGCUCGGGGCAUAUCUGCCACUCGAGCUCGGGCCCCCAUGGGUUAUACUCGGGACACAUUUGCCACCUUUCCCCCAUAUGCUUGAGGUAGCAGCAAAGCGUUGACCCAAUCAAGCCUUGCAUUCAAUGUGAAGCGAUGUAUACCAACCCAGCAUACGUCUGGGACAAAGGGUGACAAGACGGCGCACGCUGACCCUAGGACAAGCCAUCAUCACUCCUAAAAAGGCAAGGAGCGUGGGCUGUUAGAUAGCAUGGUUGUUUGACUUGUUGCCUGUCUCGGCCCACUGCAGUGCGGCCCCACGUACCUCUGAGGUUGGCAAGUGGGCUUGACAACUACUAGGGUGUUCAUGUCACCUAUCCUAAGCCACAUGUCGAAGGAAGGAGAAAGGGGUAGAGAGAAGCCACUCUACAUCCCCAACACGAUUGACACACAAGUUCAGGGCGAGAGUGGGUCCUGCCAACUGUCAUGCGACAAGACUAAGCAUACCAACCCCUGUGAGCGGGGUCGCACUUGUGUACACAUGCAUGAGCACUGCGGUAUCCUUUGACAUAUAAAAGGAGGACCAAGACCACUGAGAAAAGGAUUCGGCUUUAGUUAGAUUCUAGGCAUAAUACUGUGAAGACGGAUUCAUUCUCUCCCACUUAGAACAAUAUUGAAAAACUCAUUGCAAACUUGAUCAUGUAGAGCAAGAACAUAUGAGUAUGGUAUUACACUUCCGAGCGGCUCGAACUUGUAUUCAUCAUCAGACAUCAGUCAACGUCCUCUCUCGCGUUCCGAAUACGAGCUCUGGUACUUGCACCCUGACCAAACUUUCGAGGGAGGGUAUUUUACCUUUCUGCUUUCCACUAGAAGAGCUUCUUGCUGCAACAAUAUAUAUCAUAUGCAUGGUAAUGGAUUACUAAUAAUUUGCACUCAACAUGAACAGGCUAGGAAUUAGGUUCGAGUAUAAAGGAUAUAUAGAAUGUGACCUAUGCGAUUAUCUCAUUCUUUAAACCAAACGGUACCCUCAGCAGAUCGCGGAUCAUCUUGGCCAACUUAAUGAAUGAGCUUAUGUCGAGUGUCUGUCGUUUUUCUUAAUUAGUUAAGCAAUAGAUUGAUAAUAGUGACAGAGCUAGCUAGCUGCUUUUGAAUCUUUCGUUUGUUUUGAUUUGGGAUGGCUCGUGGCUGCAUAGUGACGUCCCUUCAAUGCCACCAUUAGCCAACUAAUGAGUUAACUUGUCCAUAAAUCUGACACCCUAUUGGCAGGCGAUGCAUCAUAAUAUGUACUUGAUAUGAUAGUAUAUUAUUAUACUAGCUACUAAUAGUAAUAGUCACUAAUUGGAUCUGUAAGAUUCGCAUAUAUAUAUAUACAUCUUCAUGUGAAUGAUACACAUCAUAUCAGCAUAUGUUCGACUCGAUCGUAUAUAUAUUACAAUUUUUUUCUUAAACACUCUAGUACAGUAAUAGUAGUUGGCCUUUCUAGCUAGGUAUGAUUCAAGCUUGCAUUGAGGUCUUGCCAACCACUCUUAAUCUAAUUACAGAUGUUGUGCCUAAACAUAUACACUUAUUAACUUGAACCGGCAAUAAUAUACACCACUUCUGGCGAUAGAUAAAAUUCCUACUACACUGUGUUUGUGGAUACGGCUGAUAUGAGAAUACAAAUGAAGGUGUGGCGAGAGAGAGAGAGGAGACACUAGUACAAUAACGAUUUUUCUGUGCGGUCAAAAGCGGUUUUCGCGUGCGGAUCUUCCCUCCGUCUGGAACGAAGUGUCUGCGAAAAUCUGAUUUUUUCCGUGUGGGUGACGCACCCGUGAUUUUUGCGUGCGGGUGCUUAAGCCGCCCACACGAGAAAAUAAAAAAUCGAAACAAAAAAAAAGAAAAUCAAAAGCCGCCCUGGAACCCUAAUCCAGCUGCUACCGCCGGCUUGCCCGAGGUCCGCUGCCGUCGUCCCUGCGGUCGCUAGCGACGGAUCCAGAUGCCCGAGGCUGGGAGCUAGAGACCGCUGCCGCCACCGCGCUGCCCGAGGCACGCCGCCGCUGUCCCCAUGGUCGCCGGCGACAGAUCCGCCCUCCCCGUGGUGGUAGGCAACGGAUCUACCCUCCCCGCGGUGGCCGGCGACGGAUCCGCCCUCCCCGUGGUGCCGGCGACAAAUCUGCUCCACCGCCACCACCCUAGCCGAUACCGCCGCCGCACUCGCCGCCACCGCCGCCCUAGCUGAGGCCGCCGCUGUCGCCGGGAAUGGGUGGGGCCGAGGUGAGGGGGAAUGGGAGGGGGAGAGGGAGAGGGAGAUGGGAGGAGUGGGAGGAGAGAUGGGAGGAUGGGAGGGAGAGGGAGUGGGAGUGGCCGAGUGGGAGGAUGGGAGGAGAUCGAGUGGCGCUGGGAGCUAAAAGGGUGGGUGGGCUAUUUUCGCGUGCGGGUCACUUAACAGGUCCACAAGUGAAAAUAAGCAUAUUUUCAUGUACGGAUCUCUUGUCUACGAAAAUUGAUUUUUUCAUGCGGUCAUUUUAAAGAGCCACACGAGAAAAUGGAGCACGAUUUUUGCAAUCUAAAGUGAGUCCCGUAUAGAAAAAUCAUUUAUGUAAUAGUGAGACAUAGAUUUUUAUGAGACCAAUAACUUGGCACUCCUUAGUACAAUAAUUCAAAGCUAAUCUUGAACUUUGGACACAAAUUUAUGGUUUAUAGGUCUUCUCCAACACUUCUAUUGCGUAACUUUAGCCUUUUCAUGAUUGCUAUAGAGACAAGUAAAAAUAAUCUAAAGGAAUUUUCGUCAAAUCAAACUUUAAAAUUAAAAGCCCCUCAAAAUUGCAAUCCAAAAUCUUUGAUCGACAGACCUGGUUCCUGGUUCUUUUUUCUAAAUGACCUACACAAGAUAAUACUGUGAAGUUUCAUAUUACAAGACCAUAACUCUGGCAGGCUAUAAUCAGGAACUGAAAAAAAAAAGAAACAAACCAUGCCUCGUGCCUACAACAUGAACGACCACUGUUGGGGAACGACAAGGAGCAUGACAACUCGAUCGGCGCACUCAACUCUAUUCAUACCAUUGGGUUGGAGAGGGAGAAGACGAGAGAGAUGGAUCCACUCUCCCCCACACAAGCCCACCAACAUAGCUAUCUUGUGGUGGCUAGAGGCGCCACCGCAAGAGGACAAUCUAUUUGAAGAGGAGAUUGUUAGGAAAUGAAUCUUCAAACGAUGUCUCUAGGGACGUUGCGACAUCGAUGGCACCACCAUCGCCCACCUUAGAGAGUGAAGAUAUAGUUUUCACCCAAAGCGUUCCAGCAUGAAAAGGAGAAGAGAUGCCACGGCAAUGCUCCCAAGAGGGUGGGGCACUAAAAAGCAUUGCCACUGCCGGCCCGGAAAUGGGCUGUGCUUUCACCCGGAAAUCUUCUCUCUCUCUCUCUCUUGUCAUUACAUCCAUGUCGUUUCCAACUGCCACCGCCAUCCAAGCCCCUUCAGCACACAACAAUCACCACAAACGCUGGCCGGCCUCCUCGCCACUCCCUACACGAUCUCUACCACCGUUGCCUCGGGGGGAACGCCUCUAACUCACUACUGUCCUUCUCAGUUAUUGCACCUUGCCACAAUUGUCACCCCAAGUGCUACCUCUUUUCCCACACUAGAUCUGAGGUAGCACAGGGGGUUGCACCCCGCUAGCUGUAAUCCUAGCUUUGCCACUCGGUUUCUGGUGGGUUGCUCUGAUGGCAGUGGCGGCUAGGCUUUUUGCCGCCACCCGAGUCACCAGCACGGGGUGAGGCAGGGGUUGUUACUUUACCUCUGUGUGCUGAACAUACUAGGUGUUGCAAUUCGUUUUUGGUUCUAUUUAAUCCACAUGGUCCCAUAUAUAUUAUCCACGAUACACACAACAAUUUAUAAUCUACUUAAAGCUGUGUUCUUUUGUCCAUGUUCCCAACUUCUACCUGCUCGUUUGUCGCGCGCACGCUUCCCGAAUUAUUGCUAAGUACUCCCUCCAUCUACUUUUAAUAGUUAUAUUUCAUCUUGGCACAAAAAUCAAAGAUAAAUAAUUAUACUUAUUAUCCAUUUAAACAUGCUACUAGUUAUUCCUCGUAAACAAUUAAGCGAUUCAUUAAUAUUUACUUUCUCGAUGCCCAUGUAGCCAAUCUUGUGUGGAAAAAUGGUGAGUCACGCAUUAAAUCCGAGAAAAUCAUUAAGAUGAUAAGUUGUUGGAUUGAAAUAUGCCUAUCAAAAAUAAAUUUUUCAGAUUUGAAAAUAUGACUAUCAAAAAUAGAUGGAGGGAGUAAUGUAUUUUUCCAAAAAUAAUUCAAUAGAAAAGUUGCUUAAAAAUUAUAUUAACCUAUUUUUUAAGUUUUUAAAGUUAACAUUUAAUUAACCAUGCAUUAAUUUAUCGUUUCGUUUUCUGUACCUAGGAGGGAGGGGUUCCCAGCUCUCACCUUAGAACAUACUAACCCAUUUGUUUGUGUCAUGGGGCUGGAAUUAAUACUUUCUUAGUUAUUGAGAAGAUCAAAUCUUUUUUUUUACCUUAAAAGGUUAAUUUGAACACAUCAGUCACUCAGUCAGGAACGAAAGAUCUAUGAAACGAAAUUGCUUAGGUGGCUCUGUCGAAAAGUGAAAUGCCAAACACAUCUAGUGAAGAAGACUUUCGGGCGCCAUAUAUAUAUAUAUAGUAUGGACCGCGUGGCUUAAUGGAGUUGUGUUGUGUUGUUAAUUAGCUAGGCUUGUCAAGCAAGAACUACUUUUGACUUUUUCAUAUAUAUUGACAAAAGUCAAGGUUGCUGGCCAGAAAACUAAACUAAAUUAAAACCUGGACUGAUCAUGGACAGAGUGAGGUAAUUAACUAGGUAUUUAGUGCAUUGCUCAUUAUAACACAUAAUUAUCAUGAACAGUUGCAUACAUAAGAUGUGGAAUUCAUUAAUUAUCUACUGAAUAAAAUAAUUAAUUGUGAAGCUAUAUCUAUAUAUGCCGUGCAUCUUGCCUUUGAAUUCAACUGCUACAAAUUAAAUUGACAAAUCAACGGGCCGCCGGGUAAUUGUCGUCUUCUGAUGGAAGAUUAAUUGUUUACUUUUCAUGUGAACUGAAGAGGGUUUUGGUCAAAUAAAACUUAGCUAAUAAACUAACUUUCAAAUAGAUCGAUCUGCACAUGUGGGUUUACACUUUUUUAUACUUAACUUUGGUACAGUUCCUGUACUAGCUAGCUAGUGCCAAAACAUGGGAAGACCGACAGUAGAUAUGCAGCAAAAUAAUAUUUUUGAAAGAUUAGUUAAGCAUAAAGCUAGCUAUAGGAUAAGCCUGCAUAUGCGUCACUGAUUUCCUGAUCAGUUUAGGCCUAAUUACACUUAUAUUAGUAACUGGGCGGAUACAUGCAUGCAUGUAAUGAUGCAACGGGCCAUUUCGCUUAGGAAGUUAGCUCCCUGGCUUCCACGCGUCGGUGAAUCAUCCGGCAGGCGGCUGGUACGCCACGAGCGCCUCUCAGGCUCUCACUAUCCUCUAGGGCACAACAACAAUAUUAUCUUCGCCACCGGAUUCAAUUAUUUUAAUCAAACGCCACUUUUUAUAAGAACAUUGCUAAGCACGCUAGCUAGAUCAGUAUCAUUAUAUUCUAAUUAAUUAAUUAAUUAAUUACCUGUGAUGUGAUCUUUUUUCUCAUAAUACAUACGGUUUUAUUUGAUCUAAUGAAUUGUUUGGAUUUGAUGGCUGGACAUCCCAUUCUAGGGCAGUAGGGCUUGUUUCACUGGAUACCACACUUUACCAUGGCAAAUAUUAGCCAUGAUAAUUUUUUAGCGACUGCUUGGUUCAUUGUUACAAUUAUGGUUUGUCAGUAGGGACGAAUACAAUUAAAAAUAGCCCCAACUAUUUUCGUAACCAUUAUCUUAAAGUAGAAUAAAAAAAAAGCAAAGCUGAAAAUGGAAACAGAAUCGGAAAUAUUGAAAGAAAAGGGGAAACAAAACUAUAUUGAUGGAAACAUAUCAGUAUCGAAAAUUAGCACUAAAUGUUGGAAAUAUUAAACUAUAAAAUUCACAUAUUUGACUUAGUAUAACUAUAUAAUAUGAAAAAAAAUAAAUAAAUUCAACACUACAAUAGUUAAAUGCCAUGCACUCAAGUUAAAGAUUAUUAGAUUGAGUAGUUGAAGAGCAUGUAAACUACAUAUCAAAUAGAGACAUGGACCAUAUAUAUUGUGGUAUAGAAAUACAAUAAUUACCAUAUUUUAAAAGCAGAAAUUUUCCAAAGAAUAUGGUAAAUUACGAAAACGGUCAGUGUAACAGUAAAAUUGUUUCCGUUUAAUUCCAUGUUUUUUUUACCAUUUCUAUUUUCAUUCUCAUCGGUUAACAUUUUCACAUGGCUCAGCUGGUAGAGAUCGGAAACUAUUGAUGAUUAGUCAGGAAUUUUCAUUACUCGUUUCUUUGCUAAACCUUGCUACGUGUGUACUAGAUUGGUAGCCACACUUAGUCGUGGCAAAGUUCAGUAAAUAAAUGUGGUUAUGUCACGCCCCGAACUAGUCCCGACCGGAACUAGCCCGUGACGCUCCAAAUUAACCUGUUAAUCGAUACCAGUCCCAGGAAACAGUGCUGGUAUCACAGGGAGACAGAAUAUCAUAGCAACAGAGGUCUCUUUAUUAUAGAGUAGAUGUACAGUCAUGUUGGGCUGCGGACAGAUCCCGAGCUUACAACUGCAUUACAAAAGGAAAGCGGAAGCCAGGACUUGGACCAAUCAACACAGGCGCGACUUGGGAACUAGGCCGAAACCCUAAAACUCAUCGUAGUCGGCUUGCUUCUGGAAGAACUCCUCAUCAGCAGGAUCCGCUUCAUCUUCUUCAGCAACUGGGGGGGGAUUAUUUAUAUAGAGCAAGGGUGAGUACGGGAGUACUCAGCAAGCCAUGGGAAGUAAGUGUUUAAUGCAGGCUUCAAGGAAAGGCUGGUGUUUUUGCAAUUAAUUUUAUUUGAACUCUUUUCUGAAACAACUAAGUGAGUGCUUCUCAAACGACACGGAUGAGACAGUACGUCUCGUCCGGUCGGAGUAUGUGCAAUGUAUCAGUCUUUAGAAUUUAAACAAGGUUGGUACCCGGCCAACAGCUUUUUCAACGGCCACCCGGGCCAACAACUUUUCAAACGGCCACCCGGGCCUAGCUGAUCCCAUCAGCUGCAGAUUUUUCAAACACCGAACCCCUUUUCACACAGCAAUUUCACAAGCAGUAGUCAAACCAAACUACGCUAGGAAUCACCUCACAUCCGCCCAUGACCGUGGGCACGGCUGUUCGAACAGUUUGUUAACCUCUGCAGAUGGGGUACACUUUACCCACACGACAUUACUAACCCGGAUCACCCAGCCCGUGGGGAUCAGCCACGUCGGGAGACCUCCAAGCUUUCAUGACAAGGCAUUUCCAAAGCCGACACAGGUUUACCAUAUGCCGACGAGAGGGGUCCCAGACCAACAACAGGUUAGGUCCCAGACCAUACUGUGCCAGGAAGCCCAGGGGUCCUCCCCGACACCACCCCGGCGAAUCCACAUGUCUCUCGGCAUCAAGGCUCCCCUGAUAAGCUAGUUACUCAGCCAGGGGUGUCCCAUUCCACCCAUGUGGUCGUACUUGUCUUAUGUUUGGAUGAAAUUCCAAGGAAUCGGUCCUUAAGUGCGAGAGCGGGAAACCGUACACCCGGUACGUUCCCCGGUCCGCGGUUUUGGAAAUUCAUUUAGUUCGCAAGCACCGACCCAGGUGUCGGGUUUUCCAAGUCUUUUGUAAAACUCCAGUUUUACCCAAGUUGUUACUCAGAUUUUAAGUUUGAAGGCGACCGUCGAUACUGGCACAGGGUGCACGAAUAUCGAGGCGCAACUGGAUGGUUACAAGGGGACAUGGUAUAGCAAUUAACAAUGGAAGGAUCAAAUGCAACAAGUUAGGUAGGUCUGCCAAUCUGCCUUGCAGACGGAACAACAGAUUAAGUGCAAUCCUAUCAAUGCAUAAUAUUUUGCAAGCAAUAUAAUUAUAUUUCAAAUAUAGGCUCAAGAUGUUCAAAGGUGGCUUGCCUUGCUCGAGAUCUGGAGCUUGAUCCUCGAAAUCCUCGCACUGCGGGUCUUCGGGCUCCGAAACUACACGCAAAACGGGACAACUCAACAAACGGCGAAAAUAAAGCCCUAUUAAUGACCUCUAAGCGUGCCAUUAGAUAGAUCUCGAGAUUUGAGAAAUUUUGGAAUUUGAACGGAGUCAAACGGAUUUACGGUUGGAAAGAUAUUGAAUUUCUAAGAUUAUUGGAUUUUUGGUCUAAAGGAAAAGGAUUUAAUUAAAUCCCUUUUUUUUUGGAAAAGAAAAGAAAAGAAAAGGGGAGAGGGAGGGAAUAUAGACUUCCCUCGGGCGGCUAGGGCGCGGCCCAAGAGAAAGGGCGGCUCGGCCGAGCUUAACGGGCCAGCCGGCCCAAGAAGGUGGCCCAGAGCGGCCCAAGACGCGCGCGCGCGGGAGGGAGGAGAGAGAGAGCCGGUGGACCGGGCUCACCAUGCGCGGUCCCGGGUGGGACCCGCUUGUCAGCGGCUCGGCUCACCGUGCGGAGGGAGUACGCGGCUCAUGCGCGCGGGCGGGGGAGGGACGCAGUGCACGCGCGCGGUUCGCGGUGGACGCGGAUGCAGCGGGCCCACGCGCAGCCUCACGGCUCGCGGUGGAACGCGCGCACGGGGAGGGACUGACCGGUAUCGGCUCGACCCGGUCUAGGCUGAGCUGGCGCCGACGUGGCGCCUACGUGGCUGCCACGCGGGCCGGCGGGAGGUAGACGACGACCCGGCCGCGAAUGGACGGCUGGCGGCGGCGGCGAGCGGCGGAGCGAACCACAGCGAUACGGGCAAAAGCUAGCACACCGGGCGGUUGUUCGUGAUGAGGGGAGACGAGCCAAUGGCUCGGAUUCGCCAGAGGGAGUUCGACGGCGGCGAAUCGCGGCGGCGACAACCGGCGGGGAGGGAAGAGGGAAACGCCGACGAGGUCACGAGGGACCGAUUCCCGGCGGUGAGAGCAUCUACGCGGUUUCGGGAACUCGAUGCUAGCGUCGGAUUGGACGGAGCUACGCCGAGCGAGGCUGGCGACGUGUGGGUGCUACGGAGCUCGAGCGGCGACGGCGGCGAGCACACGGCGAGCGACGGCAACGGUCGGGGCGGCGCCGGCUAACUACGGGGAGUCUACUCGAGCUACUACCGAAAGCUAGGGGGAGGAGAUGGAGCGAGGAGGAAGAACGGAGGGAGGCAUCACCGAGAUGAGGAGGGGCGCUGUGACGAGAGGCCGACGGCGCGGGAGUAAUCUCUCCGGCCUCGGGCCGGGGAAGAGGAAGGAGAGGGUGCGGCCGAAGUCCCCUUCCGCGUCCUUGCUCGUGCCGACUCCUUCGACACGCGCAACAACGAACGGCGACGGCGAACAGAGCACGGGGGCGGCAGCUAUGGCGAGGAGGCGAAAACGAGGGAGAUUGGAGGGGAAGGAGCUGGGGUUUAAAGGGGGCGGCAAUGUCGGUUUGGGAACCGACUUAGGGCGGUCAAGGCGCGAGCUGGCGCUCGGCGGUCGCGGCCAAAGCGGCGACAGGGAGGAUGACGCCGGCGGGGGAAAAAGGGGAAAAAGGAGGGGGAGAAAGGGGCUUGCCCUUUUGCCGAUUCGGGAAAAAGGAGGAGGGGAGCGGGGGCGACGCGGCAGAGGGAGGAGGGGCGCUGCCUCCGUCCCUUGGCGGCUUGCGCGUGGAGUGGCGGGGGCCGGGCGGUGACGACGGCAAUGACGGCGGGGCGGUUUGGAGCGGCGCGACGACACGAGCGACAGGCGCGGCAGGCGCUGACGAUGGCGGCGACCAGGCGGUCGGCCACUCGGCACGCGCGCGCGGCUCGCAACGGGAGGGCGUGGCGGAUGGAGCGGCGCGGCUCGGCACACGCGCUGGCUGCGGGGCCGAGCGGCUGCAGGCGCGGCAGGGCAGCGGGGCCGGGCGGCGACCACGCGGUGCGGGCGAGGACCACGCGGGCGCGCGCGCGAACAACAGCGCGCGGGGGCCGGCUUUGCGAGCGGGGAGCUCGCUAGGGAGAGGAGAAGGAAAGCGAGGGGAGGAGGCGCUCGGCGCGGUGACUCACGCGCACGCGCGCGGACAGAGCGGAGGAGGAGGAGCGCUCGGCGCGGCUCCCGCGCACGCGCGCGCGGCGCGCGGGCGGAGCGGAGCGGAGCUGAGGGAGAGGGGAGAGGGAGCGCGCCGGGAAGGGGAGGGGGCGAGAGAGAGCGAGAGAGAGGGAGAGAGAGCGGGAGGAAAUCGGCCCAUCGACCCCCGGGGGAGGCAAAAUAGACUUUUGCGGAGGAAUUUGAUUUGGAAGGAUUUGGAUUCGGAUUUGAACUCGACGAUAGAUCGGGGAUUGAGAUCUUGAGAUGGCACGGACACUAGACAACAAGCAAAGAAACAAAUUUCGCAAUUAGGGUUUUUAAGAGAUAAUUUUCCCGCUAGGCGCCACGACGGAACGGGCGCUACAGGGUGUGUUCCUUCUCCAAAUAUGCCCUUAAUGUUCAGUUUUAUUUGGCAACUAAUUAAACCAAGCAUAUAUAUACUACCUCCGGCCAGUUUUAUUUGUGGUUUUGGACAAACUAUAUUGAUAAAGAAUAUGUUGAUAGUACUUUAUGCUUGCCUAUGGACAAGUAUUUGUGGUAGUCAAAAGUAUGACAUUGGAAUACCUCGCUCACCGUUGAACACAACCGUGAGUUAGCUGACCAGACUCAUCCGUGACCCACACAAACUAUAGGUUCCAUGAAUUAAUUCCGAUGCCCUUUGCCAUCUGCAUACGCUUCCUACUUUAUCUUAAAGAAAUUCCAUAGUUUACCAAUAGGCUCUCUUACUUGAAAAAAUAGGUCUUUUUUUUCGAUUUCUAUUGAGUAGAGGUUUUUCUUUUUGUUUUCUUUUUCUGGAUUUGUAUGCCAUGCAUUCUCCCACUGUUCUUUUUAGUAUCGUUGAUGAUUAAUCUCCAAAAAUAUAUCUUUUACCAUUAUUUUCUAAUCAUUUGUUUGUAGGAGUUACUAAAAGUUUACUAAUAUCAUUCUCAUAUAUACAUCAAAUCUUAAUUAAAUGAAUGAAUUUCUAUAUUGUCGAUUUAAGUUUUUGAUAUCUGAUUAUGUGAAUGCCAAAAUGACAUCUACUAAAAUCUCAAACAUUGGUGAGGAUGAGACAUCAUCUAGUACAACGAAUCUGGAUAAAUAGCUAGCUCAUGUCUCAUCCUCACUAAGGUUGUUUUUUUUGGGACAAAUGGAGUAUUUGUGAACGAAAGAAGGCCAAGCAUGCACUUAAUCACCACCUUUCGUGCGUGCAACGAUUUUUCUCUUGGCUCUAGCUAACCUAAGCCGGGACACUUUUAACAGGCCUUUUAAAUGGCAUCCAGCCAUAAAUUAAACUAAUCGCCAAUAUCAGGCAGCAGCCAAUUGGGCGCUGUCUCCUCUUUCCUCUCUUCCCCCUCCCCCUUGCGUUUCAUUGCUAAAUAAAGCAAGUCGCUGGCAAUUUGAGGAAAGUCCACCCAUACCCUGCAAGUUGCAUCCACCACCAGAAAAAGCCUCUCCCGCAAACGCCACACACCAAACCACAAUUAAUCCCAUCAAAUUCCCCUAUAAGCUUUGGCCUCUUUGCAGCUUUCUUCUACCAGCUCCCAGCUAGAUCCCCUCUUGCCUUCUUUGGCACAUUCGUUCUUGCUCUCUGCUGUGGAUUAUUUGCCUCCGGCUCCGGCCAAUCGGCGGCGUGGCGCGGGCAGAUCGAUCGAUCUCAUCGGCGGCGGGGAUUGCCUGUUCUAGCUAUAGCUUGAUAGCUUAGCUAGCUUGGUCAUUUCUGGUGAGAGAUCGAUCGAGAUAGCGGCGAAGAAGAUGGGGAGGGGGAAGAUUGUGAUCCGCCGGAUCGACAACUCGACGAGCCGGCAGGUGACGUUCUCGAAGCGGAGGAACGGGAUCUUCAAGAAGGCCAAGGAGCUGGCCAUCCUCUGCGACGCCGAGGUCGGCCUCAUGAUCUUCUCCAGCACCGGCCGCCUCUACGAGUACUCCAGCACCAGGUCUGUUCUGUUCUUCAUAUCAUCGAUCAUCCGUCCUCUCUCCUUGCUUGCUUGUUGCUUGUUGAUGAUUAACUUUUGCUUGAAGAUAAUAUUUGUUAUUGAUUCUUGUUCUUUUCCUGCGCUUAGCUUUUUCUGCUUUAAUUUCCUAGUAUUUUGAUAUUUAGCCAGGGAGCCAGCAUGGGCCAUGGCCAGCUCUUCUCUGUGCAGUCAGAAAGAUGCAUAAACUAUGCAAAAACUGCCCUCUUAUUGAGAAAAGAAAUAAACUAUGCAAAAACCGUAUAUAGACAUUCAUGCACCUAACUAAAAAAUGGUUAUCACAUAUAUAUAAGAGCUGCACGGAGUAAUGAUUAUAUAUGUUUUUGUCUUUAUUUUUCUUUUGAAGGAGAUCUGUAUGUGUAGUUCUUCUAUCUAAUUUAUCUUUUGUUUUGCAUAUGUAUAUUUUUUUUCUUCCUUGUUCUUGACUACUAAUUAAUUAAUUAAUUGCAAAACUAAACAUUGUCUUUGGUUUGUAUUAAUUUGUAUAUUACUUGGCCGUACGUUAUCAUGUGAUCAACAUAUAUGCAUUGCAGAAACCAUCAAAUGAAAGAAUAUGUGGUGAAUGGCAGCUAAAAAAAUGAUCUAGGGUUUCGUGAUAAUAUGAAGUGUAUAGUGUGUGUCUCUAAAUGAAAAUUUGUAUUACUUCGAUCUCUCAGCUGUGAAUAAUUGCGUGGGUCUAUACAUCUCAACUACCAAUUAGGAGGUGUGUUAGAUGGAUGCUUAUUUCUUGGUCAAAAAAUAACACAUAAAAAUCACAUGAUUCACAUAUAUGAUGUGUAAUCUUAAUUAACAGAUUAAAUUUUGUUACUUACCGUUAUAUAUAUGCAAAUAUGCAGCAUGAAGUCAGUUAUAGAUCGGUAUGGCAAGUCCAAGGAUGAGCAGCAAGCCGUCGCAAAUCCCAACUCGGAGCUUAAGGUUUGGUUCCCAAGAUUGAUUAUUACAAUUUAUACAGUUUGAUUAUUCUCAGAUUUAAGUGAGAAAUAUAUCCACUCUAAAAAAAAUUAGAUCAUCCUGAAAGCAAAUGCCACAGUGGAGUUUAGAAGUAAUACUUAGCAAGCUAGCUUGCAUGCAUCAUAGCUCGAAUAAUCACACACUAUAUAUUUCCAUUUUGUCCGCCAUAUAUAGGUUCCUAACUUCCAAUUACAUAUAGACACAGUAGAACACCAUUUGUUUUAAAUAUAGUCCUUGCGCAGGAGUGUUGCCAUUCGUAUAAGUUUCAUUAAUUUCAAGGGAAAUAUGUGUCUCUUUUAUGGUAAAUUUUGGGGAGUGGGGCCAUGGGGGGAGUAUGUAGCACACUGAAUUUUGAUGAAAUAAUAACAAGAAUAAAAUUAUUUGAUCUUUUAAUAGAUAUAGGUGCACAUAUUAUUUUUGUGUGUGCUAGCUUUAGAUAUUUACACCAUUGCAACAUAAAUAUAUAUUGCAUAUGUCUCCUGGCAAACUAAUUAAAUUGUCUAAACACAAUGUUAAUCUACUUAUGUUCUAUGUCUAUCCAAAAUGACCAACCUCUGAUUGAGUAUAUAUAUACAUGGAUAGUUCCCAAAAAAUUGCAAGUCUGUUUGUACACAUUUGUUAUGGAAAUAAUAAACUAAGCAACUAAAUAAACUUAAUAAUACAUUAUCAACUAAAGAAAUAUCAACCAUAUAUACGUAAGACAAUCUAUAUUAUGCAAACAAAUAAAGCAAGCAAAUAAUCAACUGCAUAAGAUGACCAUAUCUUUCUUGGCAAUUAACAGCGUGGUUUUCAUAAUGAGUAUAUUUUAAUCUUAGAGAUUUUAUGACUGAUAUGACUUGAUUCAUCUUAGCGUACUUCACACCUUAUAUAAUCCCUUUUUCCAUUGUAGUGUAUUGUACAGUUUUGUUCUGUGUUAUCCAAAAUAAUCACCUUGCCCUAGUGACGUAUGAAAAUUGCCUAACAGUUCAACUUUAGUUUUAGAUUUGUGAAGAAUGAAACUAAGUAUCUAAUUAAGAUUAAAACAUAGAUAAACCAAACAUGGAGCAUUGCAUGAAUAAUUAAAACAACCUUCCUUAUAAAUAAAGUCAUUGUGGUUUGUCAGCAUUUUGAUUCUAAUCUACCUAUAUUAAUUAAGGAAGUCGAUCUUACAUGUAGUCUUUGAUUAGCGUGGAGCUAUCAAUCCUCGUGGUCAAUUUUUAAUGCAUGGUUGAUAUCAUCUUAUAUCUUUGAUAUCCUACUCAAUGAAAUCUGAUAAGACGAAAAAAAUCACCAACAAAUUCACAUGGGAUAGGGGCCAAGACGAUUAAACGUACCUUUCGCAUGAGAGAAAAACACAUUGUUUAUGAUGUUUAUAUAGAUCCUGAUGGGCCUGAUAAGGUCUGGAAAAAAAAGAACUGGGAGUAAAAAUGAUCUUUAAGAUCACUUAAGAUUAAUGGUAAACAUAGAUAAACCAAACAUGGAUAUAAACAUCAUAACAUGCCGUUGGGCUUGUUAACCGAUCAUCUUUAGUACUGGUUUAUAAUUGGUCUGAAAGAUUUAUGAUUUGCCUGACCGAGUAAAGAUCGGUUCUCCAGUAGUAACUUAAGGACACGAUCGCGAAGUCAGGGAAAUUGAAGUAAUAAAAAGAAGAAUGAUUCAUCAUGUUUUGUUUGAAUAUCGAUUUUACAACCAGUCCUGAUUCCUGAAAAUUAUAACUUCAUUUUAAAAUAAAAUUGGAUUUGAAAAAGUUGAUUAACAAGGAUUUAUUUGGAAGGAGAUAAGUUAAAAUCCCAGUAAGAAGGUGAAAGUUUUAUUGUAGUAUUAUGUGAGUCACAAGCUAGUAAUCAUGCUGGUUUUAAUCUUCACAAUCAGUACAUUCUGAAAUUCAUGUUAAUUUAAACAUUUUCAUACAAUUUGUUCCAAUCGAAAAGUAAUAUCUACUCAGAGCUUCAGUUGAGAAUAAUUUGAAACAAAAUCAAGCAUAUGGUGUCAAAAGAGGUAAAUUCGGGACUUAGGCCCUGUUUCUUUCAGCUUGGGAUUAUUAUAAUCCAGAUUAUUGGGAGUAAGCUGAAAGAAACAGACAACUUAUUGAAAUAGCUUAUUAUAAUCUGAAGCCCAGCUUAUUAUAAUCUGAUAAGCUCAUUUAGGUGAGCUUUUUCCAAAUUAUUGGGUGAAAAAUUACUACCAUGCUACCCCACUCCCUCUAUAGACUUGCGAACCCAAUAAUCUAGACUCUAAUAAUUUAGGAAAGAAACAACUAACGGCUUAUUCUACUAUAGAUUAUAAUAAUCUAGUUUAUAGUAAUCUGACUUAAUCAUUUAGAUUAUAAUAAUUUUAAACUAAAAGAAACAGGGCCUUAAUUAAGGAAGAAGUGGGCAAAUAAAGAAGCUCUGACCAAAGCCCUACAGGGCCACAUACCUAGUACGAGGUAGUUGGGUCAAACAAGUAACCAAAUUAUAUCUUUUAGAUAAAGAAACAAGUAACCAAAUUAUAGUUGUUUAAGACCCAUCAAACAAGAUGUAAGUAAGUAGUAUUUGCCUUGGGCUGGGUUUUUAGGAUGUCAAUACAGACUUACCUUGGGCUGGGUUGAGUAGUCGCAAGUGCAACGGGCUGAAAUAAAUUUAGGGCUUUCAGACUUUUGACCCACCUCAAAUUGGCAUGACUCUGUAUCUAUCAAAAAUUGACUUGACAGGAAAAAUAAAAGAACAGAUCUCCACCAAAAUGGAAUCAUGUACUCGAUACUUACAAAGAGAUGUGCAUUACAAUCACAUGCAAACUUGGGUAGAAAUUAUGAAGACCAGAGUGGCAGCUCAUGUUUUUCCACUUAAACAGAAAUGAGGAGUAAGUCCUCCUGUUUGCUCAACUAUUCAGAGAAGAUACAAGGAGAACAACACAAAAAAAAAUAAAAAUAAAAAUAGAAAUAGAAAGUUCACAGUACAUGCAAAAGAAUAGCUAAUCUUUUAACAAAGAACCCUGUUUUGCACCAUCUUAGCAGCGGUUUUUAUGUGGUCAGUACGGCAGUCAAUAGUCAAUGAAUUACACCCCUGCAAUCUAAGAGUAACAAACAUUCAAAGAAAAUGUCAUGUGCCUUUUUUGUCCGCAAAGGUGAAUGCUGAACAUGUGAGGAUACAAAAAUAGUGAAAUACUACAUCCGUUCAAAAAUGUUACUAACUACUACAGAAAGAAAUAUUUUAUAGGACUAUGAAUCUAGACAGGAAAUGUCCAGGUUAUAUUUUGGGACAUAGGUGGUUCAGUAGUAAACUACAUACUCAAGAAAGCACCUAGGCACUGGUUUUCCUUUCUCAAAUAGUAAUCCCUACAAACCUUGCAUUCUGCUGAAUAGGUCAACCAAGGUUUAAGACACUAACUAGGAUUCUAGGAAUGCACUAGGUAGCAUGUUAACAGCAGAAAUUAACUUCAUAAAAGCUGGAAUUUUUCAUUUGCUUGAGAACAGUCAUACACAUCUUUUUCCUUCCAAAAGUAAACAUAUAUUAUUCAGUCUCAUUUGAUUUACAAAAGUACAAAGCUGAGUAGCAUGGGACAAUGAACGUUCCGCUACCAAAGCACAGGUGACAGGAAAAUUAUAGUGCUAUUCUGAUGAACAAUCAACUCCAAAAUUUACAGGAUCACUCACUGGGCAUUCCUAGAGAAAUUCAUGCAAACCUACAAAACAAAGAAACCAAGGAUCAAGCCAUGAAACUAACAUAAUGCAUUUAGAAAUUCAUAAUUCACUACUAAGAAUUGUGACUGGCCUCAUGAUCAACUCAAAAUUGCCCUUCCAAGCAAGCAUGUCAUGGGUAAUAAGAGAAACAUUCAGCAGUGGAAGCCAAUACACAAUGUAGAGACGACGUAAUCUGAUCAGAGUAAACAACAAUAGAUGAUCAGGAUGGACUAAACAGUUUACAUGUGCAGCCUUCAUUAUAAGAACACUAGGAACAAUUUUCAUACAUAUUAGAUGUUUGACUUCCUUACCAGACUUUACUCAUCUAGCACCUUACCAGACUUUACUCACCUUGCUAGAUGUUCAUAUGUUGAUGAGUUCAUUUGCAAUUGCCUGGUGGCACUAGCAUCCAUGGAAAUAAAUAUAUUUUUGUUAAUCAAAAGAUUUAGAAGAACCAUUAAGAUAAUGUCAACCUUGUCAAAACAUGUACCUGCCUCCAUCUAGUUUUCAUAUUAUAACUGUUGUAAGCAUCAUGCUUCAAUAUUAUCUCAUGCCACAAGAGUUUUGUUAUUAAUCAUUGUGUUUGUUGGUCAGACAUGUUUAUUACUUUAAUUUUGUCUUGUGUGCCUGUAAUUGAAUAACUCUACCCUGCUUUCUCACUUGAUAGUUUUGGCAAAGGGAGGCAGCAAGCUUGAGACAACAACUGCACAACUUGCAAGAAAAUCAUCGGUAUGGUCUGAAAAACCCUGCAAAAUUUCCAAGCAUAUUAUUCAUUAGAAACUUGUUGGAAAGAGAAGCGCUAGCAUGUACUAUCUGAAACCAGCAAGAUAGUAAUAAAGACAAAAGCCAAGAAUCAAUGCCCUACAAGUAAGCAUUAUCAUGUGCAAGAUUACAAGCACCUACCAAUCAACCCAAAUACCUGAGACAACAAGGAUACUAUUAAACACAAAUAAACCAAAUCAGAACUACUCUGCUGUGAACUCAGUUUCCAGUUCUAAGAAAAAAAAAAUAGAUCCUCCAUAUCAGUCUAUAGAUCAGUCCUAUACUCCUAUUGGUCAGUAUUGGUAUCGCUCCCUAUUGUAUGGUGCAUAUUGAUCCCAUAAAUGACUAGAAACUAUUGAAAGGCCAUUGAUUUCACACGCAAGCAUAGAGAACAAGAUAUUGCGAAGCCAUAAUUGCUACUAAUAACAAGACAAGAAAAAGGUAUCACAUAUUGGUUUGCUAUUAUAGGCAGUUGAUGGGCGAAGAUCUAUCUGGGCUGAAUGUUAAGGAAUUGCAAUCUCUAGAGAAUCAGCUGGAAAUAAGUCUACGUAGUGUCCGUACAAAGAAGGUCAACCCACUUAUCAUAUUUCUCGUUAUGCAUUGAUCAUUUAUAAAAUAAACUUAACUGACAUGGUGUUACUGUUACUGCUGCUGUUUUCAGGACCACGUCUUGAUUGAUGAAAUUCAUGAACUGAAUCGGAAGGUCUCUAUAGCAUUUUAGUUUUUGUAAUCCUCCAUGAAGGAUGUUUAUUAUUAUUAUUAUUACUUUAGUAUACUGACUCUACUUGGUUGCAGGGAAGUCUAGUUCACCAAGAAAACAUGGAAUUAUACAAGAAGAUCAGUUUAAUUCGUCAAGAAAAUGCUGAGUUAUAUAAGAAGGUAGCCAGCAUGUUAGAUAAAGAAAACAUAGUGUUGCCACCUAACCUGCUUAGCACAUACUGACUUAUAUUGUAACAAUGUUUUAGAUCUACGAGACUGAAGGACCAAGUGAAGUCAAUCGGGAUUCACCAACUCCUUACAAUUUUGCAGUAAUUGAAAAAACAAAUGUUCCUGUGCAACUUGGACUCAGCACACUACCACAACAUAGUGACGCCGAACAAUCAACUGCUCCUAAGCUAGGGUAACACUUAGCUCUACGUAUUUUCAGUCCAUUUGCAAAUCCAAUCUUCAUUGGAGUAACGAAUGUUCAAACACAUGCAGGUUACAGUUGAAUCCAUGACCAGAAAAACAUUGUUUUGCUACACCCUUGUAUGCUGAAGGGAUACUAUUUGCUGUCAAGAGUUGAUACUCAGAUCAAGAAAAAAAAAACUAUUCAUGCCAUAGUGAUUGAGAAAUGGACUUGUAUACUGGAAAUAAAUGCCACAGUGGAAUUGAGUUGUGGAAUCCAGGCAAUGAGUGUUUUAUGAUUCAAUUUUUCCAUGUAUUUUUCAUAUAUUAACCAGUGCGGGCUUGUGUAAAAAAUAUAACCAGGCAAGGAAAAUUAGCUGUAUUGUGCAUAUGGAGCAAAUUUCAGGCGUUACUACCAUUAAAAUCAUGACAUGCUGUAAGCAAAUAUCUUGUAGACCUUUAUCUACAUAGAUUUUUUUCAGUAGGGGCCUCCCUACCGUUUCAAAAGAAAAAGAAUGCAGAUGAUUGAUAUUUCGAAUGCCUUCAGACAUGGAUAAUUCAUAACUAUUGCGAUGUGGAACCUUCUUAAUUUUCAAUUUUUAACACGCUAUCUACAAGUGGAAUAUCAUAAUCAUUUGCUUGUCUUCAUUAGUAAGACAAGUUUGAAUGCACGUGCCAAUGUGAGACAACCGUACCAUAUAACGGCCAUUAGUGCUAGAUUGGCUUUGCACCAUGAAAACAUUGGUUUUACAACCUACUGUGAGGACAUUAAAAGCAGAGAUACUCUAGCUGGCCUGUUUGGAGAUAAACAGUCGAGAAAUAUUGUGAAGACAAUCAAAGUGUUUAUUCCUGGGAUGCAGUCCAAUCCCAAAUGAUGGAUCCAGAACAAAGAAAAUAUACCUUCCAUAUGCCUAUGUGGGGCUAGAAAGCCCAAGUGCCCAACAAAAGCAAGGGUCCAGUAAUCCCUAAUCCCAGAAGUAUUGAGGGCUUUUGAGUGAAAUCCAGCACAUGCGGGCCAAUAUCCUACCAGAAUGGCUCAAGCAAGGGUUCUGGUCAUAUUGCAAGACAGCCCAGAAAGCUUUGAGGUUUGAGCUAAGAAAAAAAAUAUUUAUACAUGCAGGAAUUGCCCUAGAGGGAUGGCCCAGAAAGCUUCGAGCUAAGAAAGAAAAAAUAUCUACCAAGAAAAACUGUCUAGAGUUAUUAUUCAAGCUUCAUACAUGUACAUACUGAAAUCAGUGGCAAAUCUAGGAUAAAAAUUGAGGUGCUUAUGUAAUUUGCAUUGAUAGGUCAAAAUAUGAAAAAUUGAUACAUAUUCCAAUUAGCGCACCAAAAUCUAAAAUAAUUCAUAAAGCAGAGAUGUGACCACCUAAUCAAAUUAUAAAUUAAUUCUAUCCUUGGACGUAGAAAAAGAGUAACCAUGGUAACAAUUGCACCACAAGCCCAUAACCAACAGGUACUAGUCUUCUAGAAGCUAUGUAAACCCAUCAAUUACAGAAGCCAUGAUCUAAUCCCAUCACCCAUUGGCCCUUGCCAUUUUUGCUGUACUGUACGUAGGCACUAGGCAGUAGGCUACUAGCGCCCAGACUAGCCACAAUCGUGGAUUCACCCUGACUGAAAUUUCAGUGGCACCCAACAAAAUCCACAGUUGGGCAUCAACUAACAAGGUUAACACAUCUACAACAGCGUGGAUAUAAAAAUACAUGAUCUUAUAGAUAAAUUUCUAUAAUUUUCAAGAAUCGGUUAUAAGAUGAAUCUACAUCAAUCCCAGUAACAUUUCUAAUUAAAACAAAUCUUUACUGCUUCAAGAGUUAGUGGUUGCAAUGAGCCGUUUUGUACUCAUCUCCUCUCUUCAAAGGUGUGAGAGUCAUCUUUGCAAAAGCAUGGCUACAUCCAUUGCAAUUCAUGAAAACAUCACUAUCCAUCGAAAAACACAUGCACUUGGCUAGUUCAAUACAAAUUAAAAACAAAUAUUUGCACAUGCACUUGGCUAAUUCAAUAGAAAUUUAAAACAAAUAUUUGCUCAUUCUGAACCUUACAGGAUUUUUUUAAUGGAGAGUGAAUUAUGGAGGUACCUAAAGAUUUUCUUGCAAGAUGUGCAGUUGCUGCCACAAGCUUGUCACCAUCCCCUUGCAUGAAUCUGUCAUAAAGCAGUAGAUCGAAUUUAGAGCAACAUUUUGGGAGUGGAGCUGAAGUAACUGGAACUAGUAGAUGUAACAGAUCAGCACAAUCGCAAAGAAUAACUAGAUGCCAUGUAGUAUUGGCUCACACCAAAAACUGUACUCUUAUCAAUUAAAAAAACUGCUGUUCUUUCGUGUUAAUAUAGCUGAGUUUGCCAUGGAAGCAGUGAACCAUGCAUUCAUACUGAUUUUGCACAUACAAUAAAAGGACCUCCACAGAGAAGAAACAUAUGAAUGCUUCCUCGCUCUAUCUAAUCAUAGAGAGGAAAACUCUCAAAGUAAAGCCAUACGGGUAAUUUGGAAAACAAUCAUAGUUUCAUCUUCCUCAUUAAAACAGUAACAUAUGCAUGCAUCUGCCUGAUAGCCUAGCGAAAAUUGAACAAGAUCCAGCCCAAUAAUUGAAUUUUCUAAAACAUGCAGGCAAAUUUCACCGUUUUCUAAAAGGAAUUUAUGAUUUAGAUCUACUGCGUCCUACAGUUUAGCAAAAACACAUCAAACUCCUAAGACCAAUUCUUCAAAUGCGCGCAGGUUCACAACUUGUUGGCACUAUAAUGUUAGUAUCCAAGGGACAAAGCCAUUAACAAAUCUGUUACCAGAGAAACAUCACAUGGAAGGAUGAUGUUAGAAGGGAAGCGGAGACUGGAGUUUGUGUUACAUACUUCUUCUUAUAGCACUGAAAUGUAGCUCCUACAUCGCAUUAUUAUUCAAACAAAAGUGGACACAAUCCAACACCACUACUUAAUUUGUAAAUCCUGCACAGUUUUGUAAACAAAAUUCAGAAGUUCCCGACAGAAUCGUGCCCUUUUAAAUCAACUGCCACUAAUGCACGCAAGCUGAUGAACCAUAAUAUAUUACCACCAAACUUUAAGUUGACUAUAAUUUCCUGGCAUUGUGGUCUCACUCUCCAAAACCCCCCAUAAUUCCCUCGAGUGUCUGCGCACGCAAGCAAACAGUCACAGUAUGACGUAUGCCCUGAUAUGCUAAUACUGUACCCCGAAGGGCUUUUCUAGAUCCAAACGGAAAAAAUCGAAACACGGCAGAAGCCCGAGCUUCUCACAUCGUCCUCCAAUGCAAGCUAUAGCAACGGCACGUAUACAAGCAUAAAAACAAGCACAUGAACAUACUUUUCACUGAAAGGGAAAAGCUCGGACGCUCACCUGAGAAACCACGCGCGCGCCGCACCGGCACCGUCGAGGGGAGGGGACGGCGGGAGCUAGCGGAGAAAGGCAUUGCGAUUUAGGUGGUGGCUGGGGCCGGGGCCGGGAGAGUGGUCAGGGAGGGGAAUUCACGAGAUCGGUGCGGCUGCGCCGCGCCGUCGCGCGCGGCGGUGCCGGCGAUGGCGGCUCAAAAGGGGGAGGAGCGUGCGCCGGAUCUGGGCGGCGGACGCGGCGUGAGGACGGCGCGCGGGCGCGCGCGCGCGCGGGUGCCCGUGGCGCGGCAUGUGGCCGUGGAAGCGAAGCAAAAGCCGCGACACAUGUUGCUCCCGGCGGAGUAGAGGCGAAGAGAUAUCUGAGCUGGCCGCGAUCCAUCGAUCCAUCGAUCUAUUAAUGCCGCGAUAUGUAGGCGCCUCGCCGAAAAUAUCUAGGGGAUUUCCGCGAUUAAACAAUGCGGCGGAAGGAGCGAUCCACCGAGGGCCACGUCGCCCACCCCUUCCCCCCCUUCACCUCGGGAUGAUGCUGUGCCGUCCGUGACCGUCGGAUGGAGGAGGUGGAAGGCACGGAUCUUCGCGCGUGCCGACACCUGUCCCGGCGAGGAAGCGGGUUAACGGGUCCCCGCUCCAGAGAAGGGUCUACAGAAAUGAUCGACUGUACACACGUGUCUAGUGGUUACUCAAAAUAAAAGAUUUCGUCGGGUGGUGGUAGUGAUCCACUUGUCUGUGCUCUAGGCUAGUUGUACAAGUAGGGACAUAAGUUUUAUUAUUUUUCGAAACAUAGCACUAAUACAUGAGCUUGUAUAAAGAUACACAUACUAGUGAAUCUUCCUGUAUCGCGGAAGCUGGAUUAUUACGGGUCAUAUUUGGUCUUUAGGUUAUUCUUUUUAAUACACACUCACACACAUGAUUCUUAUGUGAGUAUCUCAGAAAACUAAACUGGUAUAUCCUGACAUUCAUAAAAUCACCAUAUAUUACUCGAUAUUGAUAGGUACGCCGUCUAUCACUGGAAAAAUAAUUAGCUAUAAAUACGACCACUCCUACUUAAAUAUAGGAUUUUAAUCGGGAUGAACAUGUCCUAUCAAAGAAAAAACUAAUCAUUUGAGGGCAUUUUUAAACAAAAGAAACGGUUUUAGUACAAAAGGCCUUUCCAGUACGGUCCAUCACUCACGGACAGUGUUGCUCUGGCUAACACAAAUUCUAUUUCCCUUACUGCUUAAGAUUAGAAAAAAAGAACGGGUACGUAGCAUCAGUUUCUGCUCUGUUAAAUAUGUCCAUUGGAAUUUCUAGUGGCACCUAAUAUAGUAUUUUGUUGCAACAUAGUGCACGUGUCUCACGACGUACUACCUCUAUUUUUUAUUUUUUAAUAGAUGACGCCGUUGACUUUUUCUCACAUGUUUAACUAUUCGUCUUAUUCAAAAAUUUUAUGCAAAUGUAUAAGAUAUAAAUCACACUUAAAGUACUAUGAGUGAUAAAACAACUCACAACAAAAUAAAUUAUAAUUACGUAAAUUUUUUUGAAUAAAACGAAUGGUCAAACGUGUGAGAAAAAGUCAACAGCGUCAUCUAUUAAAAAACGGAGAGAGUAGUAAUCUUUUUGUUAUUUAGAUUCUUUUUGCUAUAUUUUAUUUAAGAAAGUAAACUCAUACUCCUUGCAAACCUAUAAAAGCUUAUGCUUAUCAUAGGGCAAGUUCCACUAGUUCUCUUGCAUGUCCGAACUCCGAAAAACCACCUUUCAUGUUGCAAAAAGUUUUGGAUCAACAAACAAAUAUGUUAUAAAUUUAUUCUCGGAUUCAUUAUCGCAAACAUAAAUAUCGCAUUUUCUAGAUAACUUCAUUACGUAAAAAAAAUAUGAACAAUAACUAUCAUUUUUUAUUUACAAUUAUUUUAUCGUUGUCAAAUUUGACAUAAUAGAUAAAUGUCCAUACGAAUAAAAGGAAUUACUAUAUUAUAAUAUUCUAAAAUAAAUAAAAAUGUUAUUUUAUGAAAUAUGUUGCACAUGUUCUACGUAGGAAAUAUUCACCUUAAUUGGGUUUUUUAUGCGUGACUGUACAGUUUGAUUUUUAUUGUUUCUUAAUAGAGUAAAUUGUAUUGGUGGUAUAUAAACUUGUAGUAUGUAAACUUGUAAAUUGUCCGUUUCAGUACACGAACUUGUUUAGUUCGUGCGAACGAGGACCAAAAUAUCAUUGCUUGGUUUUUUUCAUCUUUUUUCUACUAUCACUAUGUCAUAUUCUAUUUUUUAUUGGAGAAGUGUACUUCUAAUAGCCACUUUUUCAUAUAUAUGUUUACAUAGUAUCCUAAUCAGCUCCUGAAUCAAUAAGAUUAGCCAUGUAGUGUCCUUUUCGCCUUCCUCCGCACGCACCAUACAAGUUCAUGCACCAAAACAAGCAUUUUACAAGUUCAUGCACUAGAUUGCAUCCACCUGACAAGUUCGUGUACGGGCAAUGCAAUUUACUCUUCUUAAUAUUAAGAAGUUAAAGAGUUGAUUUACACAGUUUUUAUACUUGUAUAAAACCUUCAGUUUAGAUAAUAGGUGAUGUGAGAUUCAUUGUCACCAACAUUUUUUCCUUUUUAAAGAGUACAAACUUUUUUUUGGAAAAGUAUAGAUAUUUCUCUUCUUGAUUGGUUGAUGAGAGGUUGUGGUGCUGUUGGUGUUCUCAUUACCCCUACCCAAGUUUAUGACCUCUUAGGCUCAAUUUUGGUGCCUACCGCUUUAUAUAGCCAGAAGGUUUUAUUUUAACAAAGGGAGUAUGUAUUGAACAUAGGGUAAUUUUCUUUCCAGCUUCAACCCUGUUCAUAUAUAUGUACAGAGAAAUUAAUUAUGUCGCUAGAAAGUUAUUACAUUUCUAAUUAACGGCAAUAAUGUUGACACCUAUUAACAAUUGUUCUUUACCUAAUUAGAGUAGCUCUUAAAGAUUCAUCAAGUGACUUUGAUUAUCCAUUAAUCACCAUGACUCGCAUAAAAAGUGUACUAUUUAGGGUUUAGGAUAGCUGAAUUAAUAAAUUAUUUGAUUUGUGUGAUAGCUAUUUGAGGGUAUGAAUGGAUGAAUUAACUUAUAUAAAGUUCAAAUUUUAUUUUUAUAAAGGGAUUCCAUGAUAUAUUUUUUUUCACGAAAAGAACCAUUUAGAAACUUAGGAAGCGUGCUAAUGAAAAACCAAAAUAUUGAACAGAAAACAUGUCUUAGGGCUGGUUUGGUUUGUGCCUUAUCAAUUUUUGUCAAUGCUAAAUUUUGACAAGUUUUGGCAUGGCUAAUUUUGGCAAGGCAAAGUUGUGUUUGGAUUGAAGCCAAAAUAGUGUAAGUUAACUAUUGAAAUUGCCUAUUGAAGAUGCACUUAAACCCCCUAGUGGAUUUUGGUGAUUAAUGACAAGGUGGUUAAAGGGAAGUAACGUGUUUAUCAAGUUUAGUCCCAAAGUAUGUUGUGAUGGCUAAGAAUACAUGGAGACCCCCCCCAAUUCGAAUGUUCCUAAAUGCGAGAAGAACCGAGUGGUUAGACUAGGUUUUACACUUUCAAAAUUGAGUUUGGGGAAAACCGUACUAUUAAGAGGGGUUUCAAGUGUGGUUCUAGGGUAUACAAAGUGCUCUUAGUCAUAUCCAUGAGUCAAAAUAUUUUUGGAAUCAUUUUUGAAAAAUGAUUUUCUCCCCGGGACAGAGAGGGCUACCCGGAGGUUCUGGCCAGAACUUCCGGGUGCCGUUUAAAAGCAAAAAUUUCCUAAGUGCUGCUUGGAAGUUCCUGGCACUUUUGCCCGGAACCUCCUGGCAGGUUUCCAGUUCAAACUUGUGAGUAACGGCUAGAUGACGUCACCUAGCCGUUAUAUAUAUGGAUUUCGUCCCCAGCUCACCCUUUGGCCAUUCCACUUCAGUUCUUUCAUGUUCUAGGGUUUUCUAGCCUCUCCUAAGCUCCCUUUGCUUCCUCCACUUAAAUCUAGAGCCUAUCUUGAGAGAUUGAGAGAAUAGAUGAGAUUGUAGGAGUGUUUUGGAGAUGGUUUGAAGAUUGGGUUUGAUUGAACACUUUGGAUACCUUGUGGGCCGUCACUUGGGCUUAUUACUCUUGGAGAUCUUCUCCUAGACGGUUAGGAGUCGCCCGUGAGCUUCCAAAGAUCUUGUGGAUGUCCCGGGAAGGUUUGUGAAGGUUUUCCUCACCUCCGCAAGGAAACGAGGUAAGUGAGUAAAGAUUCUUGUGUUGAGUUUUCAGAGGUUGUCCUAGGUAGAGCAACUUGCAUUUGUGGUCUUUUCUAGAAGGAAUUGUGAGUUGGAUCUUGGUGGUCACUCAAUUCUAGAAAAUGACCUAGAAGUGUUGAGUUGAAGGCUGUGGACCUCUUCUGGGAUCUUUGCAUAAGUGAGGCAAGGGGUUAAUCGAGACCCGACUCUUUGCAGCACCUCAACGGAGAGUAGGAUCCGUGUGAUCCGAAUUUUGGGAAAAAAAUCUCCUUUGUCUCUCUUGUGCAUGUUCUUUGAUUGUGUCUGCUGGUAUCGUGUGAUCUAUAACUUGUGCAUCUCUCUGCCUGAAUUUGCCGCUAGGACCUGUUUUUCUUCUCAGAUUUCGAUUGUAUCUGUUGCCCGGAAGUUCUUGGCUCAAGAACUACGAAAGUUCCGAGCUACUCUUCACUGUUCGGAAGUUCCAGUAUUCAUUACCAGGAGGUUCUGGGACUUGGUAAAUUUAACCGCUGCGAUUGUUGAGAAAAUUUCAGGAAAGCCCAUUCAACCCCCCCCCCCCUCUAGGCUACAUCUCUGCGCGUUCACCUAUUUUCUUAGGCAUGCCAAAAUUUGGCUUCAAACCAAAAUUUGGCAUGCGAAAACUAAACUCUAUUGAAAUUGCCAAAUAUUGGUAAGGCCAAUUUAGGCCUCAAACCAAACCAGCCCUUAAACUCCCUUGUAACACCGUGUCCUCAUAAGAGGUCAAUUGAUAUUGGUUAAUAUUAAGCUCACAUUCAUAACAUAAUGAUUUAUUUCGCCAUUAUGAAUACAUAGUACAAAAACUAAAUACAACCUAGCAUAAUCCAUUAUAAUUAUGUAAUCAACUCUCUGUUCUAGUUUAAACGGAAACAAGUAUAGGAAAAACUCAACCCGCAGUGGUGGAUUCUUCUCUCCACAUCCCACCUUCAAUUUGUUUUAUGUUAUUAACAAAAUAAAUUGUUAUCCAUAUCUGACUUAAUAGGUGGCAAAGAGGUAGCGCUAGAGCGGUCAUGAUCACCUUAGCAAAUCGUCUUAGUUGACUUAGAUACGACGCUUCCUCGUGCAUGUGGGAGUCAAAGAUGCAUGCAUGCGUUGUUUAGAGGGCCAGAGAGAUAUCUUUGGAGACUUUGUUUAUUAAAAAAAUUAGAUUGAUGGUUUAAAAUAUUGGGUUCAUCAUCGGUUUACGUGGAAUCAGUGGGUAUCGAUUCAUGGUUUUAGUGUAAAUUAGUUAAUAUGGAUCUUAAAUUGUUAAUUUAUUGAGUAUAUAAUAUAAUGGUGUAGUACAUUAUUUGAAAAUAAUAGUCCAAACUAAUUAGUCCCCUAAUUUAAAUGAAGACUAUAUUACAUUAUUAUUAAUUUAGUGGGUAAAUAUAAUGGUGCAAACUUUAUUAAUAAACAUUUUAGAGCUAAUUAGGUUAUGCAUUUUUAGAAAAAUUAUAUGAUGAUAUAAUAUUUAUGAAAGUAUGAUUAUUUAAAAAAAUUUAUCACUAAUAAUAAGUGUAUCCAUGAAAAAAAGAAAAAAAGUACGUAUGUAACUACCUAUGUGCGUACCUAUGCAACAGGAGGAGAGAUCGAGGUGGAGCCGAAUUUUCCCAUCUAAGCACAUGUGCCCCCUAAUUUCAAAUGUGAGCAUGUAUUGUCCAGAGUUCUAUUUCUAAUCGAAUUAGCUAGUACAAAGCAAAUGAUCCACCAACAUGUAUUCCUAAUAUUUCAAUUACAGUACCAUGUUUUUUUCUCUCAUUGCUGAUGCCGCUUCUAUGUAAAACAAAUUAAUAUUUGUUAGCACAAAUUAUGAUUUUGAUGAUCCAAGCAAAUGGGUUAGAUUUGAGCUUACUGUUGUAGUUCCAAUUUCCAAAACGAAAACUCAAGACUGACGGCAUGAUGGCAGGGUGCCCUAUCUCGUAAUGGUUGACCUAAUCAAUUGCUAAUUGUAUUUGGGUUUUCUUUUUCAACAACAAACAGUGUCAAGUAGGCUUAAUAAACAAGCUGCUACGAGCAAGUGAUUUGUCAUAACGAUCAGCAGCCCAUCAGUCUGUUAUAUUUUGUUGCAAGUCCGAUGGGACGACCACUGCACACACACGCGAGCUUUUGAUUAGAAACAAAAUUGAAUUAGACGGUUGCAUGUGCUUUAGAUGGGAAAAUUUUGGGGAAUGCAUGGCUGGUCUUCGACACAAACAACCGGAUCCCCUUUUAAUUAUUUGGUAGAGCCAAUUCUUUAGUAGGAUUAGAGUUCAUAUUAUCUAGUUGGGUUGCUAGCAAUAUCCUCAAUUGAUACAUGGUGAAUAAAGUUUCAGAGUGUUGCCAAAUUGAAUAUUGGGUAUUUUCCAAUGAUUUGGCUCCACUUUAAAUCACACUACUAUUUAAAGUUGUCGAAUAAUUCGUUUGGUAAAUUUCGGUUUAGUUCCACCGCGGUCAAAAAAAAAAGUUGAGGAUUAGGCUUUCAAUGCAAAAAAAAAAAGUUUAUUUUGCAUCACUCUGUUUAUCCCAAAUCCCAAAAUAAAUUUAUUUUUCAGUAGUCAUUGCAUCGGGAUAAAUGCAACGAGAGUAGAUAGAAUAGAAAAUAAUUACGUCGGGAUUUAAUAAAGUUGGGUCAUUCUAGAUUCUUUUAUUGGUAUAUGUGGGAUGGAUGAAAAUAAAGUUAUUUUAGGUCGAAAGGAGUACACGAUAAAUAGAUGCUUGUCCAACACCAAAUUGAUCAUCUCACGGGACCAGGGGUGCACAAAUAGUGGAAAUUUGUAUUAUACUGAAUUCGGAAAUCAUUUCUAUGUGCCAUGGUUUACGAAACAGCAUACACAUCAAGAAAUGAAAAUUGCACAUACAUGCAUACAUAUUACAACUACCUGCUGGUAGGUUUAUAUAAAAAGGAACCGAGGGAAACCAACAAGAACAAGUUCCCCAUCUGCUAAGCCUGGCUAUGUGAUCUACGAACCAUCAAAUUCUUCUUGCAAUUUGCAUUACGCGUAAUAAGUUAUAGACAUUUUGAAUUAUUUUUUACAAACCCGCAAGAAAAAUCUGGCUCGUAUAGUCGUAUGUAGGGCAUAUAUAGCAAGCUGCCCUGCCCUGCCCUGCCUUGCCCAUCUCUUGCAGAGAAGCCGCUGAUCACUCGAUCGAUCAGCGUGUCAUCCCGGGGAACAUGUGCGGCGGCAUGGUCAUCGCCGGCUUGUGACCCUGCCUCUCCAUGUUCGCGUGCCAUCCUGCACAAAACCAACGAAAUCGUCGUUGUCACGAUCAACCAACCAUAUAUAGCAGUACUAGUAAAUUCCAUCAGAAAAAUGGUUGUCGUUUUACCGAGGUUCAUGUCGAAGCCGCGCUUCUUGAGCUCGCGGUACUCCUGGGAGAGGGCGCAGGGCUCGCAGAAGAAGUGGACGGGGCAGUCGGCGCAGGGCUUCUCCUGCAGGCCGUACUGGGACCGCAUCUUGGCGCGGUAGAAGCAGGAGUAGACGCAGUUGCAGCCCGUGAGGAGCAUCACCAGCGCGUACAGCGCCCCGCUCGUCCCGCACGACGACGACCCCCGGUCGAUGAUCUCCGCGAUCUGCCCGAACGUGAUGCACGGGCACAGGCACGUCACGCAACCUGCCGCACGCACAACGAUCAAUCAUCGAUCAGCGCACACACACCAUGCCGAUCGAGCAAGAACACAACCGUAUCGGGGGGGGGGGGGGGAUUACUACUUACAGUUGCCGCAGUCGUCGAAGCAGUUGAAGAGGCCGGUGGACCAGGCGGCGAGGGGGACCUUGCCCUGCAUGGCGAAGGCGGUGGUGACGCCUCCACCGACGUCCUCCGGUUUCGAGUACAUGCUGCCCCGGCGCGGCGCCUUUGUCGAUCUCUCGCUCUCCGGCCUUCGGGUGUGAGGCUCUCUCUCUCGAUCAGAGGGUAACCGGCCGAAUCGCGGACUGGUCGUCCACCGUCCUCCGGCUUCGAACAGUUGCUCUUCAGCGAAAGCGGCGGCGUCGACGAAGUUUACGGGUAGUGCGCUAGUGUACUAGUAGUACAUGGGUCGAGACUUUUUUGGGCGUGAGAUAGGAUUGAUUUGCUGGCUGGUGAUGUUGAUCGAGUCGUCGUUCGCGUGGUGGCAUGAAUGCGUGAUGGUGCUGGGUAGGGUGUGGUUCCGUGUGUGACGGGGGUCAAGUCGUCGCCUGGGCCCCAGACGCUUGCCGCGACUCGGCGGCAAGCUUUGGUUUGACUGGCCACAGCCUUGUUUCUUGACUGGUGGUGGAGGGAGUCGCUUGCCAGAGUCCAAAAGGACACCGCAAUUUUUGCGAUUUGGGUUGGGGGCUGGCUGGGAGAGUGGUCAGGGAGGGGAAUUCACGAGAUCGGUGCGGCUGCGACGUCACGCGGUCGCGCGCGGGCGGCGCGGCGGUGCCGGCGAUGGCGGUUCAAAAGGGGGAGAGUGCGCCGGAUCUGGGCGGCGGGAGGACGGCGCGCGCGCGAGAGAGAGAGAGUAGGCGCGAGAGAGCGGGUGCCCGUGGCGCGCCGUGGCGCGGCAUGUGGCCGUGGAAGCGAAGCAAAGCCGCGACACAUGUCGCUUCCGGCGGAGGAGGAAAGGCGAAGAAAUAUCUGAGCUGGCCGCGAUCCAUCGAUCCAUCGAUCUAUGCUGCGAUAUGUAGGCUCCUUGCCGAAAAUAUCCAGGGGGUUUCCGCGAUUAAGGCUGUGUUAUUCCCCCUAUUUUCCCAACACACCUCUCUCAGUUUUCCACGCGCACGCUUUCAAACUACUAAACGAUAUGAUUUAUAAAAAAACAUUCUAUAUGAAAGUUGUUUAAAAAAAUCAUAUUAAUCUAUUUUUCAAAAAAAAUAAUUAUACUUAAUUAAUCAUGCAAUAAAACGAACUUCGUUUUGCGUGCCGGGGAGGAGGGGUACCCCCUCUCCGAACACAACCUAAACAAUGCGGCGGAAGGAGCGAUCCACCGAAGGCCACAUCCCCACCCCUUCCCCGAGAAAACGGAGAUAGGUUGGGUUGGAAUAAAAUACCACUCAAUACAAUACACCGGAUAAAAUGCCACUCAAUACGUUGCCUAAUGGAUGAAAUACCACUUUAGAGAUUUUUGUGCCCAAAAUGUCCCUGGAGAGAGAGAGGGGGGGGGGAGAAGGGAGCGUUGGGGAGGGAGGCACCGGAGGCCUCGCUGGGCGGUGGCGGCGGCGGCCGGCAAGAACAGCGGGGGAGGAGGAUAGGAUGGCGGGCAGCGGAGGAAGAGGCGACAGCGUCGGGAAGGAGGACUGGGCGGUGAGCCUACUCGCGCGUUCACCGCUGAGGGCAGGGGGAGGAGGAGGCGACGCGGGAGGAGGAGCGCCGGGGAGGGCCGGCCGGGCGGCGCUAGAGGCCUCGCCAGGUGGUGGCGGCAGCGGCCGGCGGGGACGACGGGGGGAGGAGAACAGGGCAAAGGAAGAUGCGACGGCGGUGGAGCCUCAGAUCAUCGUCCCCGUCGCUGCCCGGCCGCUGCCGCUCGCCGCGCCGUCCUCCUCUCCCCACGUCGUAUCCUCCUCCUCCCCCCGUCGUCCCCGUUGGCAGCCGCCACCACCACCGCCCGGCGAGGCCUCCGGCGCCGACCAGCAGGCGCUCCCUUCUCCCUCUCUCUCUCCAGGGACAUUUUGGGCACAAAAAUCUCCAAAGUGACAUUUUAUCCGGUAGACAAUGUAUUGAGUGGCAUUUUAUCCAGUGCAUUGUAUUGAGUGGCAUUGUAUCCCAGCCCAACCUAUAGAGUGGCAUAUCGUCCGUUUUCUCCCUUCCCCGUCACCUCAGGAUGAUGUUGUGCCAUCCGUCGGAUGGAGGAGGUGAAAGGCACGGAUCUUCACAUGUGCUGACACUUGUCCCGGCGAGGAAACGGGUUAGAGCAAGUACAAUAGCAGCCUAUAAGCCAACUAUAACCACAUAUCGAGAAGAAAAGAGAAGAGAGAGAAGAAAGCGGGCUACAGAUUUGUAGUCAGCUGCAACAUGGACUCCAAGACGUUUUGUGUGUAUGAGAGAUGGGACCGGGUAUUAAUGGUGUAGUAUAUUUUUAUAGGUAACUAUUGUAUGAAUGGGCUAUUAGGUUAUAUAUAGAUGAUUUGGAGCUAACAUUUGGCUAUACUAUUAAACUUACUCUUAGAGCAAGGAUAAUAGUGAACUAUAAGCAAGCUAUAUGCUUAUAUGGAAUAGAGAGAUAAAGAAAAGUGGGAAGUGUUGGUUCUCAUGCAAGAGCUAGUUUCACACAAGCUUCAAGAAAUAUGCAUUAAACUCAAAGUGAGAUAAAGAGAGAGGAUGAAAAAAAUAAAGCUAACCUUAUAGUUAAUCUAUUAUACAUGUUAGCUCUAACAUUGACUUAUAAUAAGUAGUGAAUUGUACUAUUAAACUUGCUCUUAGGGCAAGUACUAUAGGCAUUUUAGGCAUCCAAGCACAGACCCAAGAUACCACAUAGCACUAAGGGCAAGUACUACGGGCAUCUAAGCACAAUCUCCUAGUGCCACAUAAGCUUAAAUAGUGAGGUGGAGGAGAGAAAAAAUGAGAGAGAUAAGGAGCCACCCCUCAUGCAAGAGGCAACUACUACACAAAAUUCAAGACAAAGAGAGCGAGAGAGGAAGAGUAGAUAGGGCAAACAAAUAUUGGGGCUAGUGUAUUAUAAUUAGUAUAGAUGUGAUAUAUUGUACAUGUUACCUCUAUAUUUAUUAGUUGAUGAUGUGGUCAAGAUUAGAUGUAACAUCCACCUCUUUUAUAAAACUUGCCCUAAAUGAUGAGAUGGAGGAGAGAAUAAAGAUAAAAAAGAAAUAGUCACCUCUCAUGCAAGGGGCAACUCCUACACAAACUUCAAUAAAUAUGUGAGAUUGCUAGAAAUAUUGGGGAUGUGUGGUAGAGACAAUCUAUUACACAUGUUACCUCUUAAUUUAAUGGUGUAUGACAUGCAUAAAAUUAGAUGUGGUACUCACCUCUACCAUAAAACUUGCCCUUAGAGCAAGUUUAAUAGUAUAGCCAAAUCAUCUAUAGUCAAUUUAAUAGCUCAUUUAUAUAAUAUAGUUAACUAUAAAUAUACUAUAUCAUUAAUAAUUGGUCACACAUAUCAUACACACGUAGCGUUUUAGAAUCCGUGCUGCAGCUGGCUACAAAUAUAUAGUCCGCUUAUCUUCUCUCUUUUCUUAUCUUCCGUACCGCAGCUGGCUAUAAAUAUAUAGCCGACAUUAUGUUAGGGCCUCAUCGGAUGGAUGUAUGGGCUGAGGCUUUUCAGCCAAAGCCUAUCGAAUUGCUUAUUGGGCUGAGGACUUUAAACCGAAUUGCUUAUUGGACUGAGGACUUUAAGCCUCAAUAAGCCAAAUAAGCCAAUUAAUGGCUUUUCUUUAGCUUAAGGAGAAAAGGUAACUUUGACUAUUCAGCCAAAGCUCUAGGUUAACCGAUGAGGGCAUUAUUGUACCUGCUCUUAACGGGUCCCAGCAAGGCCGACUCCAGAGAUGGGCCUACAGAAAUGGUCGACUGUACAGUGUACACAUGUGUCUAGUGGUUACUCGAAAUAAAGAUUUUGUCGGGUGGUGAUAAUGAUCCACUUAUCUGUGCUCGGCUAGUUGUACAAGUAGGCAUAUUUUUUUUUCUUCAAAACAGCACAAAUACAUGCACUUGUAUAAACAUACACACACUUAUUAUUCUUAAUACACACACUCACACAAGAGAACACACGCACCCAUGAUUCUUAUGUGAGUGUAUGAAGAUUGAACUUGAAUAUCCUGAGAUUUAUAAAAUCACCAUAUAUUACUUGAUAUUUGAUAUUGAUAGGUACGUUGGCUAUCAGUGCUAUAAAUACAAGAUGAUUUGAUAGGUGGCAAAGCGAUAGCGCUAUAACGACCGUGAUCACCUUAACAAAUCAUCUUAGUUGCCUUAUAUAAGGCGCUUCAUCGUGCAUGUGAAAGUCAAAGAUGUAUGUAUGCGUUGUGUAAAGGGCCAGAGAGGUAUCUUUGGAAGCUUUGUUUAUUAAAAAAAAGAUUCAAUGGUUUAAAUAAUAGGUUCAAUGGUUCGAAGGGAAACUAUUUUUUAUUAAAAAAUAGUAUGUUCACCGUUUUAGUUUAAAUUAGUUAAUAUAGACCAUAAAAUGUUAAUUUAUUGAGUAUAUAAUAUAAUGGUGUAGUACAUUAUUUGAAAAUAAUAGUCCAAAGUAAUUAGUUCCCUAAUUUAAAUAAAAAUUAUCUUAUAUUAUUAUUAAUUUAAUGGGUAAAUAUAGUGGUGAAAACUUUAUUAAUAAACAUUGUAGAGCUAAUUAAGUUACACAUUUUUUAAAAAGUUUUAUGAUGAUAUAAUCUUUAUAAAAGUAUGAUUAUUUAAAAUUUAGAGUAAAUUGCACCCACGGUGCAACAACUUGGUAGGUGGGUGCAAUUUAGUGCAAUAACUUGAGAAAUGAGGGUUCCAGUGCAACAACUUGGUAGGAAGGUGCAAUUUAGUAUAAGAACUUUAUAAGUGAUCGUAUAAAUACAACAACUUGCAAGUAGGUACGAUUUUGAUACAAUAAAUUAAGAAGUUAUAUGAUAACUUAAUUUUUUUGGAGCAUUUUAAUUUUUUGAGUAUUUAUUUUGACAAUAUUCUAGCAUGGAUUUGUAUAAUCAUAUUUAUAUAUUUAUCCUAAUAACUAAUAACUGAAAGUUAAUAAAACUGGAUGUAGAAUUAUUAUAUUUCGGUUGAUAUUUGAGAUGGUGAAGAAAGAAAAAAAAUCUUAAAGUUAAUUGGAUGUAAAUUGUAUGUGCAGUAUAAUUCUUAAAGAUUAAAUUCAAUAUUAUAAGGUAAUAUCCGUAGGAAUAUUGUGUAAUGGCAUAUUGACAUCGUGAAAAAACUCACCUAGCAUAUGCUUAGCCAAGUUGAUGCACCAAAAUACUAUAAAUUGUAGUUCUUGUACUAGAAUGCACCCACUUGUCAAGUUGUUGUACUCAAACAUUUAAUUCGCAAGAUCUUGCAUUAUAUCGUACCCACCUGCCGAGUUAUUGUACCAUAGGUGUAAUUUACUCUAAAAUUUAUUAUCACUAUUAAUACGUGUAUCCAUGAAAAAAAAAGGAGAAAAUGUACGUAUGUACCUACCUAUGCAACAGGAGAAGAGGUCGAAUUUUUCCCAUCUAAACACAUGUGGCCCCCUAAUUUCAAAUGUGAGCACGUAUUGUUCAGAAUUCUUUUCUAAUCGAAUUAGUUGGUACAAAGCAAAUGAUCGAUCCAUCAACACGUGUAGCUAGUAAAUUACAGUACCGUGUUAUUUUUUCCCUCCUUGCUGAUGUUGUUUCUAUGUAAAACAAAUUAAUAUUUGUUAGCACAAAUUACAAUUUUGAUGAUCCAAACAAAUGGACUAGAUUUGAGCUUACCGCUGCCGUUCUAAUUUCCUAAACGAAAACUCGAGACUGACGGCAUGAUGACAGGGUGCCCUAUCUCGUAAUGGUUGAUCUAACCUAUUGCUAAUGGUAUUUGGGUUUUCUUUUUCAUAACAAACAGUGUCAAGUAGGCCUAAUAAACAAGCUGCUACGAGCAAGUGAUUUGUCCUAACGAUCAACAGCCCUUUAGUUUGUUACUACUCCCUCCGUCCCGCAAUAUAAGAGAUUUUCAGUUUUUGCUUGCAACGUUUGACCACUCGUCUUUUUUUGCAAAUAUAAAAAACGAAAAGUUGUGCUUAAAGUACUGUAGAUAAUAAAGUAAGUCACAAAUAAAAUAAUUAAUAAUUUCAGAAAAUUUUGAAUAAGAUGAGUGAUCAAACGUUAUAAGCAAAAACUCAAAAUCCCUUAUAUUAUGAGGGAGAGGGAGUACAUUUUGUUGCACAUCAAGUCCGAUGGGACGACCACUGACACACAGUCACACACAUGAGCUUUUGAUUUCAAAUAGAAUUCCAGUCAUUACAUGCUCACAUUUGAAAUUAGACGGUUGCAUGUGCUUAGAUGGGAAAAAUUCAGGGAAUGCCUGAUCUUGGUCUUCGACACAAACAGCAGGAUCCGAUCCCCUUUUAGUUAUUUGGUAGAGCCAAAAUCUGGCUCUACCAAUUCUUUGGUAGGAUUAGACUUCAUAUUAUAUUGUUGGUUCGCUAGCAAUAUCCUCAAUUGGUACAUGGUGAAGAAAGUUUUUGAGUGUUGCCAAAUUGAACGUUUGGGCAUUUUCCAAUGAUUUGGCUCCAAUUUAAACUAACUACUGUUUAAGUUGUUGAACAACUCAUUUGAUAAAUUUCGGUUUAGAUCCAACGCGGUCCAAAAAAAAGUUGAGGAUUGGGCUUUACUUGCACGAAAAAAGUUACUCCCUCCAUUCCAAAAUAAGUUUAUUUUGCAUCCCAUCUGUUUAUCCCAAAAUAAAUUCAUUUUCUAGUAAUCAUUGCAUCGGAGUUUGUAAAAGUAUGGAUAAAUGCAAUGAGAGUAGAUAUAAUAGGAAAUAAUUACAUUGUGAUUAAAUAAAGUUGGGGUAUUCUAGAUUUUUUAUUGAUAUAUGCAAUAUGAGUAAAAAUAAACUUAGGGUUGUGUUCGCUGAGGUAGGUUGAGAACUCAUUCUCUCCGCACGAAAAACAGAGUGGUCCAUUAGCGCGUGAUUAAUUAAGUAUUAGCUUUUUUUUUCAAAAAUGGAUCAAUAUGAUUUUUUAAAGCAACUUUUGUAUAGAAACUUUUUACAAAAAAAUACAUUAUUUAGCAAUUUGAAAAGUGUGCGCGCGGAACACGAGGGAGAGGGGUUGGAAACCCUGAGCAAAGAACACAGCAUUAUUUUAGAACUAAGGGAGUACAGAUAAAGAGAUGCUUGCUCAACACCAAAUUGAUCAUCUCACGGGACCAGGAGUGCACAAAAAGUGGAAAUUUGUAUUAUAUUGAAUUCGGUUGAAUUAAGAAAGGGCAUAAUCGAAAUCAUUUCUUUGAUAUGCCAUAUGCUUUACGAAACUGCAUACACAUCAAGAAAUGAAAAUUGCAUACAUGCAUAAUACAACUACCGGCUGGUAGGUAUAUAUAAAAAGGGACCUUGGAAAACCAACAAGAACAAGUUCCCCAUCUGCUAAGCCUGGCUACGUGAUCUAUGAACCAUCAAAUUCUUCUAGCAGAUUGCAUUACGCGUACUAUAGUUAUAGACCUUUUGUAUUGUUUUGGUGCAAACCCGCAAGAGAAAUCUCGCUCGUAUGUAGGCACGUAGUAAGCUGCCCUGCCCUGCCCUGUCCUGCCCAUCUCUAGCAGAGAAGACAACGACCGAGCAGGGCAGCAGCCAGCAUCACCCACUGAUUAGCCGAUCGAUCAGCGUGUCAUCCCAGGGUACAUCUCCGGCGCCAUGGUCGCCGCCGGGUUUUGCCCUUGCUUCUCCAUGUUUGCGUGCCAUCCUGCACAAAACCAACGAAAUCGUCAUCGUCACGAUCAUCAACACGCACGACAGCCAACCAUUCCAUUAGAAAAUCGAUGGCUAUGCUAUAAACAUAUUUUAACAUAUUUUAAGAAGAUAAAAGAGUAGAGAGACGAGCAGUGGACUACAGAUUUGUAGCCAGCUGCAGCACAGACUCAAAUACGCAAUGUGUGUAUAACAUGUGGGACCAGGAAUUAAUAGUGCAGUAGAUAACUAUUGUAUCAAUUAACUAUUAAAUUAAUUAUAAAUGAUUUGGAGUUGGUAGUUGGCUGUACUGUUAAACUUCCUGUUACCGAGGCUCAUGUCGAAGCCGCGCUUCUUGAGCUCGCGGUACUCCUGGCAGAGGGCGCAGGGCUCGCACCACAAGUGGACGAGGCAGUCGGGGCAGGGCGUCUCCUGCAGGCCGUACUGGGACCGCAGCUUGGAGCGGUAGAUGCAGGAGUAGAUACAGCUGCAGCCCGUGACGAGAAACACCAGCGCGUACAGCGACCCGCUCGUCCCGCACGACGACGACCCCCGGUCGACGAUCUCCGCGAUCUGCCCGAACGUGAUGCACGGGCACAACCACGUCAUAAAACCUGCGCCCGACAACAAUCGAUCAGCACACACGUACCACGCCAAGCAGAGAACACACAAUCGUAGCCCGGCUUGCUUAUUUUACAGUUGCUGCUGUCGUCGAAGCAGUCAAAGAGGUCGGUGGACCAUGGGACGGGGGCGGCCUGGUCCUGCAUGGCGAAGGGUGGUGGUGGUGGUGGCGCCUCCACCGUCCUCCUCCGGCUUCUGAGUAUAUAUAUGCUGGCCCGACGUACGGGGCGCCUUCGUCGAUCCCUCACUCUCCGGCCCGCGAGGGUGAGGCUUUCUCUCCGACGAGGCUAAUGAUGAGCGCGCGGUGUGGUGGUACAAGUAGUAGAGGGUAACCGGCCGAAUCGCGGACUGGUCGUCCGCGCGCAUUUAUCGGGCGAGGCCGCGAAUGUUGGCCUAUCGAUCAUAAUUUUAAGGACGUAACUACGCAUCGGGUGCUCGAUUUAACGCUAAAAAUCGGGUGCCCACCCCUACAAAACAUCAGCUAAACUGGAUGCAUGCACAAAGCCAUGCGCAUAUGCAAAGAGACAUGCAACAAGCAUGGAGGCACUCAAUAGCUGUGCAUGCAAAGUACAUAACUAUAUCUCUCACUCCUAGUAUUAAUAAACAACUUAUUUAACAUGCUCUAAACUUUUUUUCUUAUAAAUUACUUAUCUCAUCUGUGAUAUGAUUACACCGUUAUAUUUGUUACAAUUAAAUAUUUAAAAUAAGAUCUCACACGACUAUAUUUUAAAUUAAAAAUUAAUAUAUAAAUAUAUAACUAAUUGAAACACAUUUAUAUUAUAUAUGAAACAUUAAGUUGCAAUUGUUUAAACAUCACAAAAAACUCCUUGAAAAAUAUCUAAAAAGAAUAUCACAUGCAACAUUCCAAAUAAUUUAGUGAAACAUCACAAAAUACCUACCGAAACAUCCCAAAAAACACACCACGUGCAACAUUCUAAAAUACACAAUGAAACAUCAUAAAAUACCUCCUCAAACUCAAAGAACACCAAGUGCAACAUUUCAAAUAAAGUAGUGAAACAUCAACUAAAACAUCACAAAAAAUACUUCUUCAAACAUUCAAAGAACGCUAUGUGCAACAUUCUAAAUGACCUAGUGAAACUUCGCGCCGUUUAAGUAAUCCAUUGCAACAAAAAAACAUUUAAAAUAUUUUUGUCAGAAUAUAAUCAAGUAAGAUUUUAUUGUGAAGAAUUAAUUAUAACAAAUACAACAGUGUAAUCGGAUCUCAGAUUAUUAGAUAAUAAUCUGUGAAAGAAGAUUAUUUGAAGUUAUGGAAUAAGAAAGUAUAAGUAUGUAGUAGGAGCAUAUGGAUACAGAGGGUGAACUUAAUUGUACACGUUACAUGUAUCAUGGCAUCACCAAUAUAUAUAGCAAAAGUGAUUCAUAUAGAUAGGAUCCACAUAAAUAAACUUUAACUAUAACAAUCCUCACAAUGUAUAUAGAUAAAAGGUAGCACUAAGAGAAGAUAGAAGUAGAGACAAAUAAUAUUAUUUAUUUUAUAUGGGUAGCCUAUAUGGUUUUCUUUUUUACUUUUUAGUCCUUUUUUUAAAUUAAAAAAAAGACCUUUACAAAAAAUAUUUCUAAAAACUGAAUCUUUUGGCCCGAUUGGCUGCCACACCAGUUGCACGGUGUGACAAAGUUAUUUGGCUGGCCAAAAGGUUCAGAUUUGGAAAUAUUUAUUUUGGAAGGUCUAUUUUUAAAAUUUAAAAAUAAAAAAAUAUUAGUCCAUAUGCAUAUGGGUAUCUUUUGUUAUUUUCUUUAAAUGGACUAGUUGCAUAAUAGUAUUAGGUGGUUGAAUAAAAUAUUGUAUUGCCUAUAGAUCACUUUUGCACCACAUUGUGGAUGCCCUUAAGUAGGAGAGAAUAAAACUACACUCUAUAUGAUUUUUGAUGGGUACCGGCUCAAAAGCAGUGGCCUUGAUCUUCUUUCCUGGCUGGAAAUUGCAGUCAUGAAGGCUUAUCUCCCGCUUCUUAUUGAAAGCAAAUAAUAAGAUCAAAACAGAUUCUAGGGAUUGCGUUCGUUGGCGGACUCAACCUGACAUCUUACGACAUGAACUGCUCCCAAAGAGGGAGGCCUAAAUAUAGUUUUUUUGGAUGGAAUCUUUGGCGUCAGCCUAUAGGUUUUCUGGUUUUUCUAAUUUCUUCUUUGGCGGAAUGUGAAAGAUUACCCUUUGAUUUACCAGAAGCGGAGGAAGAAUUAGUAGCAGGUUAUCAAACCGAAUAUUCUGGUAUCAAAUAUGAUUUAUUUUAUCUUGUUUCUUACCUAAAUUUAUUAGUUUCCUCUUUAUUUGUAACAGUUCUCUACUUAGGCGGGUGGAAUUUGUCUAUUCCCUAUAUAUCCUUUUUUGGAUUUUUCCAAAUGAAUAAAAUGGUUGGAAUUUUAGAAAUGACAAUGAGUAUCUUAUCAGAAAGAUAGGCGGACGACUUGACCAUAAGGUCGGAUGUUUCCGUGAGCAGUAAGCUGCGGAUCUCCCCUUUUUUGGGGGAAAGCUGGUGGCCCUUUUGGCGUGUUAAUUCUUUCGACGGGGUGGCCUUCUUCGUUCGGUAGAUCCGGUCGAGGUGGUUUUCGUUUACCAGCGCGUAGGUGGUCUAAGUUCCUAUGACCGAGUCUUUCUGGCCCCUGUGAACAUAUUUUCUUAAUGUAUUAAAGAGGGCCUCUCUAACCGGUGAAAAGUGGUAGGUGUCCACUAACGGCUAUUCCUGGCUCGGCUCCGAUAACGCAAUUCCGGGAGGAGUCGGUAGUUAGGCACUUGAUCCCUUCGGACCUGGAGAACGUGUGACACUGGGUCGGGGUUUGGUGAACCAACAGGUCGCUCCUUUAGUUGAAGUAUUGGGCCCCUUUUUCGUUGCCUAGGUUACACCUUCGGAAUACCCCAGACGGGGAUUGAGCUCUAUUCCCCCCAAUCUUCACUUUACGCCAUGCCGACUCUCCGUCGUGGAAUUAGACCAAGGGUCGAAGACCCAUACCAUAGGACCCCAUCCCCCGUAUCUUAUCUUUCGCGCGUAGGAGAUCGAGACACAGCCUUAGGGCUAUGGGGAAAGUAGAUCGAUUGCUCUAGAAUUACAACUACAUAGAGGGUCUCUACAAGUCUAUAAAGAAGUUUAAAAAAAUUGAUAGACACUGUUUGAUGGUGCAUGCUGCAUGCAACACAUAACCGGAGUAGGAGGACGUCCGAUUUUUUCAAAUUGGGUCGAACACCCGACCUUAAUCGUUCUCCUAAUUUUUCAAGUGGAUAAUUGCAUUUGUUUGGACUCUCGCUGAACCAAUCAUGAUGCAGUGCGGGCCUGGUCGCGCCCACGGUGUUCACGUGGGUGGCGCGGGCUCUGCAUGCGGGAUAGCACGACGGGUGGCUACGGUUGUACAAGCUUCAAUAAACGGUUUGGAGUCAGUUGCAAUACAAGCUUCAAUACAAGAGAG
rnacentral:lncRNA from 1 species